rnacentral:lncRNA from 1 species
GUCUCUCAAGUUGUGCCUUCUGGGUCGGACAGGCUCGAAGUUUACCGUGAACUGAGCCAAGCUGGGUUAGUAGGCUUGGAAGACGCUUCAGCUGAACCGUCUAUUUGGUAUGGUGCCUUUGAUGUGAUCCUGUUAAAGGUUUACGAGUAGGAUAUUGAGAAAUUCGCUUAACAAGAACUUAUGGAAUAACAAGAUAUUAUGUUUUCAUUAAAAUGCAUUACCUAUCCUUCCUCUUCUCAAGGAACCGAUGAAGUGAAGCUCUUCUUGCAAUCGGGAGUUCUACAAAUCAAAAAGAGAGAAAGUUAGAGAAAUAGGACUAAGCCAAGCUCAGAGAUGGUUGAACCAAAAGAGGCUGAGAUCAAUUACCGCAGGCUAAAGAGGCCGGGUUAGGCUGAAUUGGCUCUUGUGCUGCGGUUUUUGCAGGACUACAAACAGGAUUUGGGCUAGAAGCAAUCUCUUUUUGAGAAUAAGCACUAUGGUUAUUGUUUACUUCAGCUGUGAAACAUGUGAAGCUUUUGGCACUUCCUUUGUUAGCCAAAUCAAUGACUUCUUUAGCUUUCUCAGCAGAAAAAUCAUCAAACACCAUAACUCGACCACCGUAGAAUAUAGUCAACGGAGCAGAUUGAGACUCUGGCUUCACAGAUCUGUUCAAAAUCACACAAAAAUUAGUUAAACUGAUGAAACAUAGCUUACUAUAUGAGACGAUUCUUUUCACUAUAUACAUAUAAACACAUACUUAGUAGUCUCUUUGAUCAUCUGUACAUCUUCUUUGGUCCCAGAGGAAGAGGAAGAAGAAAAGCUUGAUUGUCUCGGAAACAUAGUCUUCGGUUUAAUGUCUUCUUGACCAGCAGAAGAAUCCAUUCCUGAAGCUUCACAAGGGAACAGAUUCAUCAUUGUAGGCUGACGUGAACCUCCUGCGAAAAUUGAUCCAAAAGUAAAGAUUAUUAUCAUUCACCAAUCUCUCAAACAACUGCAAAACAAAAUCUACUUAAUGACUAAACCAGGCCUAUGGCUUUAGAGGAUUAUGCUUAAACCAAACACAGAACCAUCUCCACAAAUUCAUACACAUACAUACAUAUAUAGAAAUUGAUUCAAAAUCCAUUAAUCAUCGAUUCUCUACAACGAUUCAAUUUCCAGACAACAUGUAAUCGAUUCAUAAUUCGUAAUUCGCAACAGGAAACUCAAAAUUCGCAGAAACGAAAUGAACAGAUCUAAAAGAGAAAGGUUGAUUACCAUUAACGUCGGGCUUGCAUGUCAUCCCUAAGCUCAGAUCUCCAAAACUACCCUUCUCCUUCAGGUAACGACUCAAUCGAGUACAUGUUUGUGAAAAGCUCGGUUUACGACCAGAGAAGUCCCAACACUCGGCAGAAAAACUCGACAUCGUUGAAACCGAAAUUGAAAUCGUUUCGAUUGAGAAAUUGGAGCAAAAGGAUCUUCCUUCCUGAGUUGUUGAAUUUUCUCGAAUCUUAUAAAAAAACUUAGGGUUCUUGUUUAUCUUUCUCUGCCAAGUGCGUUUUGUCACGAGGAAGAAAUGGAGGACCUCUUUAUUACUUUUUUUUCGCUGGUUGCAGAUACGGAAAUUAGUAAAAUAUACUCUUAUAGUAUUAAUUAACAUAGAGACAUUUAAAACACGUGUUUUAAUUUAAUGUUUUAACGGCAGACCACUGUUUCAGAUCACCACCGUCACCCACGUCCCCACGCUUCACACUUGAAAUAACCAUUUCACCCUCUUACUACUCCUGUUUUUACCAUUUUACCCUUACAAGAUGUUCAAAUAAAAUAAAAAAUUAUGAAAACGUAAAAUCCUAAAAUUAAUUAGUUCAAACAAAUCAAUGUUCAGAUGAAAUUUGAUUAUGAUAGUCUUUCAGUUAUACCAUUUAGUUGGUUCAUAUAUCCUUUUUUUUAAGAUGAAUCUCUUGGCAUUAAUUUAUGUAUUUUUAGCACUAUUAAUUAGUCUACUAUUUUAAUCUCAUAGACCGGCGUGAUAUUUUAGCACUCAAAGAGAAUUAACGGUAUGAUUUGGGGGAAAAAAGAGGAUUAACGGCGUUAGAUAGAGGGAACACGGUGUGGGUCUUACAUAACCAAAACUCCACCACCAAUGCAAAUUUGAUCCAUAAAUCACGUUUUGUAUUUUCCCUUUUAUUAAUUUUUUUUUAGUGUUUUAUUUAUGACAACAGUAAUAAAUAAUUACAAAAAGCGGGAAGAGCACGUCUCCUCCAUGAAUCGCGACCUUACACGUGUCUAACUUAACUGCCCACAUUUGAGAGAAUUUUUCUUGUUGGUGUCGUAGUCAGAGUAAUCACCUGUUACGCGGCUUAUAUAGCAGCUGUGUUCUCCUACGCACAAUAGCCGUUGAUCCUAUCACUCUGUCUUUUAUUCUCUUGUUAUUAUCCCAUGCGUUUGUUAGGAACACACAAAUAAGUUUGAUUUUCUUUUAUAACGUAACGUCCAACUUGUUAUUUUAUUGACUUGGAUUGUAGUAAUUGCUAACUCAUUACAGGUACAUCGAGAUAACGUAAGGUUCAUAGAGUGGCUCGUGAGAAAAUAAGGAUGAUUGGUUAAUUUGGUUUUUAACUGUUUUAUAAACAUCUUCACAAAAUUUUAUACAUCACAAACAUAUCCAUAAGAAACAAAAUCAGAAGAAGCUGCAGGUACAUACAAUUACAAGGAAGAGGGGUCACAAGAAGAACCCAGAGCGCAUAAAGACAUCAAAGUCUGGAUAUUAUUUAGAGUAUGCAACCAAAAAGAAGAAGGCAAGUGGGGUGGUCACAAAAAUGCAAGAUAGAGGUCACAAGAAGAAUAGAAGAACAUAAGCUAAUUAAGGAAUAGUACUCUAUAUUCCUGUUUUUACUGUAGAAACUUUAUCUACUUAUGGCUCUCUUAUACAAGGCUGAUUGAUACCCUUUUAGCCAUGUUUUUAUACUUGCUCUUGGUUUUCACAGCUGAUUCAUUCCUCUUCUUUCUUUCACAUAUUUAACAGAAAAUAAGCUUACAUAUGAAAGUGGUAAAACAUUGGGCCCUUGGAAUAUAUUUUUUUAGUUUUUACCUUUCAAAAGAUGAUUUAGUUACUCUCUAUAUAUGUAAUUAACAAAGGGAAAACUGUCAAGAGCUACUAAAUUUAAAAUUGAGAAUUGAUUUGGCAUUUUUUGAGAUUUCAUGUUAAACAAUAGAAAUGUAAAGACUACAAAGAUUUCCAAUAAGAAGGUAUCACAAGAAACAGAAUUUUAAUGGCGAAUCCAAACUCUGAUAUCUCUAGCACGUUUUAGCUCCUGUCCAAGUCUUUGGCUCAUCAGAUCUUGAUCCUAAGAAACUUAGCUUAGCUCUUGGUAGUUGAACAAACUCUGUUGAUUCCCUCGACGUAACACUAGCAUAACAUGGGAAACUUCUUGUAAAACACUGCACAUAAUUUAAACACUCAGCUUCAUAACAAAUUCUUAGUCCAUCCCAAAUCAUUUUAGAGCAUUUCUGGACCGACAAUACUUCAAAGGGAACUUGCACAAACUUCCAAUUCAUUAUUGCCAAUGAUCCAUCUCAGCCAAAGUAAUAAAUAUAGAAAGGUCAAAAGAGUUAACUGUCCUUCAAUUCCUCUAAGAAUCUGAUGAUACACAAAUGUACAAUGGAUGUAACUUUUUACCUUACAGCAAGUUAUACAAUCAGGUUUGGAGUACAAGCAACUGCUUUCGCUUUCACUUGUAAGGAGCAAAAAUGAUGCUGGAGUUAUGACCACCAAACCCGAAUGAAUUUGACAAGGCUGCUUUAAUGUCCAGUCUCUCCUUCUUAGGACCCACCAGCAGCUUUGUAUCCUGCUCCAAUUUCAUUUCACAGUACGAUUAUUAAAACUCCCAAGAGUUUUUUUUUACGAACAUUAAAAGGUCUUUGUAUAGGUAUUGAACUCAUAUGAAACUAACAUACCACUCCACUGUCUGGAUUCUCGAGGUUGAUAUUUGGAUGAACCCAUCCGGUCCGUAUCGCCUGUAGAUAGCAACAGAAUAUUAACAUUAAAAAUGCGAAGAUUGCACAUAAUUUCGCUCUAUGCUAAAACUUGGUUUCAACAACACUUCCUUCCUUGUAGAUACACCGAGUCAAAUGAGUUACCUGCACAGUUGCAACAGCCUCCACGGCCCCAGCAGCUCCCAGCAAGUGUCCAAUCAUAGAUUUUGUGGAAUUUACCUUAAGCUGCCACAUCGAGAAAGAUCAAGAAAAGCACAUAAAAAGGCACUUCGGAAUUUUGUAACAAAGAACUGAAGCUACCUCAGGAUUUUGGCCAAAACAGUGAGCAAGGGCUUGGUAUUCCUUAAUAUCUCCAGCAUGCGUUGAGGUUGCAUGUGCAUUUAUGUAAUUUAUUUGUUCCUUGGAAAUCCCAGCACUAGCUAACGCUCUCUCAAUACAGAGAAUAACACCAGCCCCUGCGGAUUUAAGAAAAAUGGGAUAAUGACAAAAAAAUUAUAGAAAAAAGAGAUUUCAAAUUUGUAGUUGACUAGCAGACUAAUAUAAAUUAGGGGAAAAUGAAACUACCAUCAGGGUGAGGCUCGGUCAUGUGAUAGGCAUCACAUGUGAAACUCCCACCGAGGAACUCUGCGUAGAUAGUUGCACCUCUUUUCUGAAAGAAAAGCAGAAUACUUAUGUUCUCACAACUCGUUCCAUAGCAAGCAAUAAAAAAAGCUUUGGAUAUAAGUUUCUUUUGUGAUUUAAAAAUGGGAAACAAGAAAUGACAGAAAGAACGAAUAAGUUAUAUACCUUAGCAUGCUCGAGUUCUUCCAAAAGUAGAACUCCAGCUCCCUCUCCCAUCACGAAACCAUCUCGAUUCUGUCAUGCAAUCAAGACCAGGUUAACAAAACAAGAAGAAUUUCCAAACAUAAUACGCACGUUUCCUCACACUUUCUUUCCUACAACAUUACAAUGUAAGGGAAAUUCCUGUUGGCAAAAACUCGAUACAGUGUUUCUAGCAUCCACCAAGAUUAAAACAAAACCAUAGAAGGGUACUAAAACAUGCAAGUAACAAAAGGAAUAGAAGACAAGACACGAAAUUGUUUAAACUUACGGUAUCCCAAGGACGUGAAGCUUUUGUGGGAUCAUUAUUCCUUUGUGAAAGAGCCCGGCAUGCAACAAAACCUCCCAACCCUGCAUUGGUACACAUACGAUACGAUUUCACGUCGCUUAAAUUUCAAGAAUAGAUGGGACAAUGUAAAAUAUAAGAGAACGAGUUAGCACCUAUUGGAAUAAUAACUGCAUCUGAGCCACCACAGAGCAUUACAUCCUGAAAAGUUUAGUGGAAAGACAAACAGUCUAUAAGUAGAAACAGAGGAAGUCUACCAAACUGUCGAAUUUCCAAGUGUAUGGAGGAUACUUACAGCUUCACCUUUAAUAAUGUGGUUUGCUGAAUUCAGAAUGCAAAAGUUGCUUGUGGCACAAGCAGUUGAAAUAGAAUAGUUUGGCCCCAUCCAUCCCUGAUACAUGACCACAAAAUAAAAAGGGUCAGUACUAAAUUGCUGGUGGUCAUCCAUAAUAUAUUAAGAGCAUUUCAAAUUUAAUCAGACCAGAUCCAUGGCAAGCAUAGCAGAACCCAUGUUUGUUGUCGCAAAAGGUACACAAAAAGGAUUCAUCUUCUUGUAAGAGAUUCUCAGAGCUUCAAUAGCAUCGUAAAAGACCUGUAUUAUUAUAAGAUUAUUAGAAAUGCAACGAUUCGCAACAGACUUCCUAAUUUUUAGAUUCAAUAUUCAUGUGACUCUUUUGUUAGUGAAAGCAUGGUUAAAUGAAGGAACAAUCAGGCGAGAUACUGAACAGAAACCUUAAAAUGAAACUGUUUUCAUACUUUCUAUACAUUCAAGCCCGGGCUCGAGAAAGUACCUUCAUUCCUCCCAUUGCCGAGCCAAUCAAAACUCCACAUUUGGUUUUGUCAAACUCUGCCAUUACUUCAUCAGUAACCCCACCAUCAGCCAAAGCUUUCUUACCAGCUGUGAGAAGAUAGAGCAUGAAUUUGUCCAUCCUUUUAGAAAGUUUUGGAGCAACCCAUCCUUCAGUCGAGAAGCUUUUGAUCUCUCCCGCAAUUCGCUUGACAAAGGUAAAACAAAGAAAGAUAUUCUAGUACACACAAAAGCAAACGGAGAAAUUCCGCACACCAAAAAGCUUCCAAGAGAUCCUGAUAUAAAUAAUACGUACCGUAGGAAAUUCAGAACAAUCAAAAUUUUCAAUCUGGCUAAUACCACUGUUGCCUUGUAGCAAAUUCUCAUAGAAGGUAUGUGGGUCAUGACCCAAUGAUGUUUCAACUCCCAUGCCUGUCACUACAACUCGACGCUGCUCCGUAGGUGGUUUCUUGUUAACCGCAGCUUCCUUUUCCAUCUCCAUCACUGCCAUGGCUCCACCUAAAACCCACAAAGCCAGUUGAUGGUAGAUAAACUUAAUCAGCUACUAUCCACAAACCACAUCUCAAUAGCAAGAUAAACAAAAGAAUCACAGCCAACUUCAAAAUUUAGAUAUAAAAGUUCACUGCCAUUUGGUCAGCUUUCGAAGCUCUGUAUCAUCUAGAGACUAACCUCACAGAGUUUGCUUUCAUAUGAAAGAUGAUAAAACAUGGAAUCACAAUAAAAAUUCAAACUUUCACAUGUCAGCUGCUUCCCACUUCAACUUUACCUCUAAAUUUCAUCACUAACAUAAACCCAUAACAACAUCGAACUAUAAAAACUAAACCUUGCCACAUAAAAACAAAACCCCAGAUUGGAAGAGAAAAUAAAAAAAGGAGAUAAAUGUAAUACCGGAGCUAGCAGCACGAUUCAAUCUCCUCUGGUUUCGAUUCAAAGAAACACUAUUCGAUCCAAAGAGAGAAGACAAUGCAUUGUUGUUGUUGUAGUGAGUACAAGGACCAAAAUCCAAACAAGAAGUGACGAGAGCCUGAAUGCUAGCGGAUCCAGAAGCGACAGAGCAUUUGCUAAGCUGCCUCCUUCGCCGACUCCGCCCACCAGAUUGAAGAGCAACAGCCUGACGGCUAUCUCCUCCACCGUGAGAGACGGACAUGCAAGCAGCAACAAACCAGGUACAUAACGGAGAUGCGUAAGAGGAAGACGCACCCACCAUGGCAUAAAAAGGAAGAGGCUUUGAGAAGAACCCAGAUGAGAGAACAAAGGAGAAAGCGAGAAAUGGGUGAAGAGAAGAAGAGAGAAUCUAGCAGAGAGAAGGCAAAUGGGAUUCACGAGAGAUUUAAGAGAAAUCGAUCUGCGAUCUCUCUCUUCUCUCUCUCUUUCAGGAAGCGUGCAGAGAGCUUCGAUGCGUUAAAUCGUGCGUGGAGACGCCAAAAAUCCUUCUCUGAAACAAACAGACAGAGAGAGAGAGAGAGAGAUACAACACUAUACAAAUACCAAUCGACACUUCAAAUCUCAAUAUUAUCGAUGACCAUUAAAUUUUAUUUAUUUUUAUCUCAAUCUCAAUUUUGUAACUAAAAAAUAUAUACUAUAACCUUUUUAUCUAUUUUUGUUAAAGUUGAUGAUAUUUUAUCAAAAAAUAGCCCCACUUUUCAAAACUAAAAAACAAAAUAUUCCUAACUUAUUUUCUUUUAUUAGGUUUAGUUUUCAAGUACAAAUCACAAAAUUGAAAACAGUAAUUUCACAGAAUGAUAGGAAAUCAUAAUUUAUGUUGAUGUAAUGAUAUAAUCAAAAAAUAAUUAUACAGUAACGCUGCUGAUUCAAUAUGUUCCACUACAAUUUUUGUUACAUACACAGAUUUGGUGACCUCGGUUUAAUCGAAGGAAGGACACUUGGAAAAUCAUUAUUUUAUUUUGGAUUACUUGUUUUUUGUUUUUGUGGCAGUGAAGUGUUACAGACUUGGGAUAGUGAUAUGGCAAAGGAGCGCCACUGUUUUUUUUUUUAACAUUUAUUACUCUCAUGAUUUUUUGAAGUGACUAAUCUUCAGAAAUACACGUAUAAAGUACGUAUUUUAUACAUGAGUUUACUAGUAGUAGUGUUCAUAAAUAGGAAGAUCAUCAAGUGGUCCGGUCCGGUGAUGGUAUUGGGAAGUAGAUCCAGAAAGAAAAGAAGAAAAAACAUUGAUAAAAGUCAUGGAUUUGAUACGUUAAAGCUGACUAAUAAAUAUAAUAGACCCCUCAAAUUCAUUAAAUUCACACAAUGAAUGUCUCUUUUGACUUGUGUAUAAUCAAAAGUUUGAUAGGAUACACGUGAUUUGUUUUUCCUACUGAUCGAAACAUUACACACAUCAAGUAGCUCUAAUAUUGUAUCAAACCAAGUUGUAUUAGAGAAUUGGUUUAUGUUGGUUUGAAAUCCAACCCAAGAGUUCAGGUUUUUUGUUUUGUUUUUAAGUGAUGGAAAUGGAAUAAAAGAAAACAGAGGAAGCAGGAAAGAGGGGAGCAAGCGAAUAUGCAUGGAAAGAGUCAAAGUGGGUAAGCUCUCUCAUACCUAACAUUCCAUUUUCGCAUCACCAUUCCCAGCUAAACCAGCCUAUUUUAUGCACACAUACAUACUAUCUCACACUUGUCGAUUUCUGAUUCGUUCGGUAUGAGCCCAUCAAAAUCAACAUUACUACUUCAAUAUCAAAGGAAUUAGAUAGAUACACAAAGUGAUACAAGUGUGUUCAGGUAUUGCUGCUUAUCCACUAUCCAUGAACACCUUUUGAAAGAAGCAAAGUUUUCACUUUCACCUGAAAUCUAACUGAUAAACGAUUCAGAAGUGCAUUUGUCUGAUCACAAUUCAUAAGUGCAUUUGUUACAAAAGCAUAUCAACUUUGCGUUCCAUUCAAACAAAACAGAGAUUGUAUUAGUUCGUCUACACAUAAACAUUAACAUGAAACAAAAGACCGAUAAUAGACAAGAAAAGUUUUUAAAAAAAAUGGAGGCAGAGGAGUCUACUUGAAGAGUUGAUCCAAUGAUAUGUAAAACUCUUAACGCUUGGAGAAUUGUGGGGCUUUACGCGCCUUCUUGAGCCCGGCCUUCUUUCUUUCAACCACUCUCGCAUCUCUAGUGAGCAAACCUUCCUUCUUCAAAGGCGAUCUGUGGUCUGCACUUACCUUCAGGAGUGCACGUGCGACUCCCAAGGUAAUUGCUUGAGCUUGACCUGAGAGACCGCCUCCAUGGGCUUUCACAAAUAUGUCGUAGCUAUUCUCAUAUCCUAAAGUCACCAAUGGUACUUUAACAUACUGAAGCCACAAUGGAUUUCCCUGAAGGUACUCCUGAAAAAGGUUUACAAUGAUCAUCAUCAGCAAUAUACGUAUGGAUUCAAAUCUUUCCCAUUCACAACAAAACAGCUUGUCAAAACCCCCCAAACUUUUAUCAUAAUCUCUCCUUGUUAACACUUUCUCAGCCACUUAUCCUAAGUCUAAACAGCCUAGAAUUUAUCAUAUGAACUAUUUGUUCAGAAAUUUCUUCCAGUUUCACCUUAAUCUAUAACGUGCUGAUGCAGCUCCCAGGUCACAAAGAACUACAUACAGAUAACGUCUGAUCACAAGACUAAUACCGAUACAGUUUGAUCACUUUCUCAGCCACUUAUCCUAGUCUAAAGUCUAAAUAGCCUAGAAUUCAUCAUAUAAACUAUUUGUUCAGAGAGUUCUUCCAGUUUCAACUUAAUCUGUAACGCGCUGAUAUAACUCAUCUAUCAAAAAGAAGUACAUAAAGAUACAGUUUGAUCACAAGACUAGUAUACCCUACAUAACAGAGAAUAUCUUCAUAAAGGUCAAGACUUUCUCUCCUACAAACUGCUACAAUUUAUACUACUAAAUGCUUCAAUCGAUUACACACUAUGCAUGAUGUCAGUCUCUUGCAGGUAUCAGAUAUUCAUAUAAACCAAGAAUAUGUUCAAACGGGGGUAAGUGGACUGCUUUCAUAGCUUUAGCUGUUAAAAUACCAAUUUCAAGUUCAAAUCUUAAUCUCAUAUGAGUAGUCAAUUCUCAGCUGUAUAAACUCCAAAUUCAAGGCCUAAGCAAACACAUCAAGCGACUAAGCAACAGUGUAAAAGCCAAUAAGAUAAUGAAAUUAGAAAUAAAUUUACCUUGGCAUCACGAUAGUUGAUGAUAACCUUCCCAGUACCUUCCUGAAGAACAACUCUAGCGAUUGCGCACUUACGUCGUCCAGUGCCAAUAAUCUUCUGAGCAGCAAAUCCUCCGGGAAGCCUCGAUUUGACGUAUUUCUUCAGUUCAACUAUCUCCUCCUCCUCCGGUGGAGCAGAUACCGUGGCGGUGAUAGAUAGAGAAGCGCGGCGUGCGGAUUUCGCCGGUAAUGCGAAUACUGAAUUCGCGCGGGGGAAGGAAAUGGUGUUAGGUCUUUGAGAAACUUGGGAGGAGAACGAGAGUGAAGAGAGAGAAGAGGCGAGGUUCGUAAUCGACGCCAUUGUCGCUGAACGAAGAAGAUAACGUCGAGCAAAGUGAAGCUGAGCUCAGGAGUUUCGUUGAACAGGUAAAAAGGAAGAAGAUAACGAGCAGAGUGAAGAUGAGAUUAGGCACGGUCCCUCUCGCUUCAUGAGCUUUCCAACUUAUUGAAUCGGCCCAUUAGAGCCCAUUAAAAACCUUCAUUGGGCUUAACAAGGAGCUUGAAAACACAAAUACUCUGUGUAGAUUCGUUACAUAUGUUAACAAAAACAAAAUGGUCAAAACAAAAAUUUACAUCACAUCAUUGUCAUUUAGUUAAUUUCCAUGUUCUUUUGCCAUCUACUCCAAAUUACACGAUUAAAUGUGAAGCUUUAAAUUCAUCUGUGCGAUAAUCAUAUAUUAAGGAUCAUAUACUAUAAUCAGCAUUCAUGUUGAUCAAUCUGCAGAUGUAGCACGAGAACAAGCUUAUGACGAUUUUUCACAAAGCGGAAGAUUGGAGAAUCAAAUAUUACAAGCAGAUGCAAAUUUUUUAUAAGAAUGUAAAAGUAGCUCUAAACAUUAAUUGUCAAAAUAACAAAAAUCGUAGACAAUGUAUAAUAAUAGUUUCAAAAACAUUGUCAAAAAAACAGACUCAGAUUCAUCAAAAGAUACUUUCCAUUACAACAAGAAAUUUGAAAACCGUAAACCAGUUGGCAUGGCAGCAAAACUUGAAUGCCCACCAAAGAAACUAGACCCAUGAUGUCUUUGUUCAAGACGAGGUCGAGCUGUUUCAGUCCUAGUCGCAGCUGGUCGAUUAGGGACAGUAACACCACUAUUGAGUUUCGAUCUCGGAUCAGAAGAUGGCUUACCCAUUCCAUACAAAGGAACCAAAGUAUCUUCCUUAACCAAAGCUUUACAAACAGGACAAUGAUUUGAUUUAGAAUGGUAAUGGAGCCACUUGUAGAGACAAGGCCAACAGAACAAAUGACCACAUAGAGUCACGAUCGGUUCUCUUGCCAAUUCAAGACAGAUAUUGCAUCCAAAGUUGUUUGAUGCAUCAUCUUCUUCGUUCGUGAUGGUGUUAAUAGCCAUUGUAAGAUCUUUUUUCCUGCACACAUGCAAUGAAAUUAACGAAUGAGAUGAAAAACUCUAAAACCCUUAAACGCGGUUUCAUAUAGAAUUGAUCAAACAUGCAGAGAAAUACAAAAAUUUCACGUAGAUUUGAUUCAAAGUUUCGAUUUUUACGAGAAGGGACAGCGUCUGAAAGAUUUACCUCGGCGAUGAGAUAGAGGUUUCUGAUGUACGAUCGCAGAGAUUAGAAGAGUCGGUGAAAGAAACUAGGAAUACUGUUGUUUAUAUACUAACGGAUUAACAAAACAAAAAAAAAAGGAAAAAAGUUGUUAUUCUUCUUAUGGCUGACCAAGCUUCCUUCAUGUAAUUAUCAGAUGAUUUUUAAAGAUUUAAUAACAUAAUUUAAAUAAAAUUAGUUUAUUUCCUUGGUUUCAAUUCAAAUUAAAUGUCAGUUUUGACUUUUGACUAAUAGUUUUGUUUACCAAAAAUAAUUAUCGUUUUAUGAUUCUAUACCUUUAAAUUAAGUGAACGAAUUACAGAAUUUUAGUACUCGAUCAAAAACAAUACUAAUACAUAUUGAACAUUGCAUUAAAUUUUGUUUUAUCCCUACCAAAAUAAAUAAAUUAGUUUCAUUGUUACUUGAAAAAUGCCCAACCUAACGUUAAAACACGUAGUAGUGAUUAUUGUUUACAACAUUUGUCCAAUUAUUAAAGUCAAACAAUCCAUAAACUGUUUACGCUAAAACUUGUGAUUUUGACGGUUGCGGGAUUCUAGAUGAUCAUUGGUCACCUUGUACCCAAAGAAAUCCUAUUAUAUUAUUUUGGAAAGUACAUUUGAAAUGUAACCUUAAUUUUUGUAAUUAAUUACAUGACAAUGAUAUUAGAAAAAUUUAAUCAAAAACAAAAUCUUUUAAUGACGUUAUUAAGGUUACCAAAAUUCAUUUAACGACAAUAUUCAUUUCUUAAUUAUAGGGCUUAUUGGAUCUAAAGACGGGUCAUCAAAGAUUUUCUAAACUGAAUCAAAAUAUACCGAAUAUUCAAAUAUUUAUCUCUUACCAAAUAUAAACAAAUAAGUUCGUAAAACAAUUUAAUAUUUUAUAUACGAAAUCAAUUAAAUCUUAAUUACAUAAAAAUUAGCACAAAAAAAAAGUAUUCAACAAUUACAAUUUUAUCAAAUCUCUCUGUUAUAUAAGUUUUGAUAAUAUAUUCGAAUAAAGUGUAAUAUAACUUUUCAAUUUGUACUCUUUAACUAAUUUAAGCUAAUUAAUAUAUUUGUUAAUCUUAUACCUAUCAAAACCGACUAUCGUUUCUUAUCUCUAUAGUAUUUUUGCAAGACUUUUUGGUGGAUUUUGGUAAAAGUGCAUUCGGGUCAUAUGGUACAUUCUCCUAUUAAAUAAAUAUGGUGCACUCCUAUGUUAUUAGCUAAAAUAUUUAGAUUAUAAUUAGAGUCAUAUCAUAAAUAAAAUUAAUAUUAUUAAAUAAAUGGCUUUUUGGCAAGACAGAUUUGGAGAAAUGGGGUUUUGAAUCAACAAUAAUAAAAAGGUAAAAUAUAAUUAAUUCACAAUACGGGUUAAAUCUUUAAUUUAUUAUUUUUUAAGACCACUAAUAUUAAACAUAUCAAAUCAUCCUAAUUUAGAAAAGGUUAUAUAAAACCAAAAAAUUAUGUGGUAUGUAUAAUGUUACUAUAUAUAAAAUUAAACUAUAAAAUAUAAAUGUAUUAGAGAAUGAUGCAAUUUAUAAAACUCUUAUAUAUAAUAAAUAAUUCUUAAAUUUUAAAAAUUACUACUUUAAAAAAAAUCACGGGACAGGUAAAGAAAUUACAGAACGGGUUUUAUUUUGGAAUUGGGUUAUAUGGUGGAUGUAUUUGAAUCAAUAUUUAUAAAAUUUUAAAAUAUUAUUAAUAUACUGUUUUAAGAAGGGUUAAAACUUCAGUUUUUUAACAAUUGUCUCAUGGAUUCGUGGUAUAGCGUUACUUAAUAACAAUUAUAAACUGUAAAAUAUAAAUAUUUUAUAAAAAUAAAAUUUGUAAGUUUUAAUAUAUAUUACCUUUAAAAAAUAAAUAGUCCCGCGGUAUAUCGCAGGUUAAAAUCUAGUAAUUAUAUAUUAUGAAUAAAAUAAUUUAGAUAAAGUUAGAGAUCAAAUCCUAUUACAUCUAGAAAAAUACCAGUCUAUAUAUUUGUGAUUUUUAUUGUUGUAACAAUUGUGGUGAUUAGUUUACGAUUUUAAACAUAUCAACAACAAAAAUAAUUCAGAAAAGAAAACGCACUCAAUUAAUAUAGUUUUUUUAUAGAAUGAAACUUAAACCUUUUUACACGUAUAAAAUGCUUUUUAGUGUAACGGUUAAGACUUCAUCUUCAGAUAAAUAUUUUAGGACCUUAAUAUAUAAUGGUAACUUUAAAAUUGUUCUAGACGACGGUAUUAUUAAUAUUAUCAAAUACUUAGUACAACGAAUCAAAUUGACUGGAACUAUAGGAAUGUUCGAAAUGGAACAUGAUCCAACAAAUAUCAUACGUGGUGGAUUAACUUGCUUCACAUAUAAUUUGUGCUGAAGUCCAAAUAAUAAUAUACAUGGAUUCUGGAAGUAUUAUAGUUGGGUAUAAAGUCUUGUUGCAUUUGCAUUUAUUUCUUGUACGCAAUGCGGCUAAGCAACUUUCAUUAUCCUUACCAUAAAAAGAACAAAAACAAUCGUAUCAUAUUCUCACUCUGCACGAAAAGUCAAGUCACGUAAAUUGUUAAAAGAUUGGGGAUUUGAAUAUUGUAUCAGAAAAAUGUUAUUUAAUCUACAAUUUUAAACUAUAUUAAAACACAUAAUUAACUAAGAAAUCCUUUGUAAUCUCUUAAAGUCACUAAAAAUCUAAUGCUUAAAAUAUUUCCAAUCACAAUGAAUUUUAAAGUUUUUUUUACCAAAUCAAUUGUUCUAUAUUACUAUAUUUUAUAACUUUUUAAAACUCUAUGGUUGAAUAACAUAAUAUUUUGUUUUAACACAAAUCAUUUUAAAUGGUAGAUUGAAUACACUUCCUUAGUUUUGAAAAAAUACACUAAAAGUAUGAAAUGAUGUUUUUUUUUUAAUUACAAAACGAUAACUCGAAAACGAUGGUUUAAUGAAAUUAUUUGAUGAAAUAAAGUUAUCAUAAACAUCCUUAAUCUCUUCUUAUACAUGUCAACUUUGACCAUGACAUGAAUGGAUCGCAUUCCCAAUUUACUAACACAAAAAAAAAUGAGGAAAUACGAAAACAGUAGUAUAAAAAUAGAGCAAAGCCGGUGAGAAAAAACAAGAAACACAGAAACAGAACAUAAAUUAAAGAAGACUCACAUUCAAGAAUCUCUCUCUUCUCCUCCUCUCAUUCUCUCAGCGGCUUCUUCUUCUUCCUUUUUCUUUCACAUCACACAACACAACCACUGUGAUCUUGAUUUGUUACCAAUGACGACGUUCAAUUACUAUUUAGCGGAGCAUCCAACGAUCGUUAACUUCCGUUGGAGUCCAACCCAAUCCUACGCCUCCACGUGGUCUUUCCUCUUCACCGCCGUCUCAUCUUACAUCAUCGCCGCCGUCACUCUCCACCUCCUCCUCCUCAUAACCCUCUCCCUCUCUAACCGCCGCCGCGGAUUCUCCCUCGGUCCAAUCCCAGCUCUACACAGCUUAACCAUUUCCAUAAUCUCCGCCGUCAUAUUCGUCGGUAUCCUCCUCUCCGCCGCAGCAGAGAUCAGAGACACGCGGUGGCUAUGGCGUCGCACCCGCACCACUGCUCUCCAAUGGUUCCUCUGCUUUCCCGUAGGUACACGCGCUUCGGGACGCGUGUUCUUCUGGUCAUACGCGUUUUACCUCUCAAGAUUCCUUCACUUGUUCCGUACUUUCUUCUCCGUGAUACGACGUCGUAAACUCAGCUUCUUCCAGCUUAUCAACCAGUCUUCUCUUCUCUGUAUCUCCUUCCUCUGGCUCGAAUAUUCCCAAUCCUUUCAGGUAUAAAAUAACCGGGUUACCACACAUUAAACCGGAAUCAAUUACCGAAUUUAUAAAUUUGAACCGUUCUUCCUGGUUUUGGUUUCUGUAGGUGGUAGCGAUACUAUUAACGACCGUUUCGUACGCCGUUGUGUACGGUUACAGGUUCUGGACGGAGAUUGGGUUGCGUGGCGCGUGUUUUCCGUUUGUCGGAAACUGUCAAGCCAUUCUGUUAGGGUGUAUGACGGUUUGCCACGUAGGCGUACUCUGUAUACACCUGGUCAAACGCGGCGGUUGUAACGGUAUCGGUGCUUGGUUGUUUAACUCUGUUCUUAACGCCGUUAUCACGUUGCUCUACUUGAAGUUUUAUUGCAAGACGCGUUCAAUGAUGACCAAGGCUAAUCACAACACCACAUAAACCUUAAUCAUUUUUGUAUUAUUGAAAUCAUCCGGAAAAAAAAAAUCAGACUUCAGCUAAAAUAUGAAAACUGGAGAUCAGAUUUAUUCUGUUGAUGUUGUUGUUGUAUGAUAAUUAGGAAUAGGAAUCAUUGUAGUCUUGCUCUCCGACACAAAAUAUAUUAUAUAAUUUUGCAUUAUAAUAGCUUAUUUUGAUCUUUUGAAGAUUCGUCACUUUUCUCAGGUUGCAAGGAAAGAAAAAGUCAGGUAGCUUUCGGUAUUGAAUUCGUUUCUUUUAAACAUCUAAUCAAAGAAAAGGAGUUUUUAAGUCACAGGAAUACUUUUUAUGAAUCACGUUUUGUCAUAAUAAUAACCUGAGAAAAGACAAAAUCGAUAUGCACUAUAUAGUUACAGCAUUGCCGGAUGAUAUCAAUCUCCGGCGUCCACUUGUUUCCGGUCAAUGAGAACACCGUCGUCCCAAGUUUCAGAGUAUCUGUAGGAAAUAGCCGUCAACAAUUUUGAAUAAACUUGGGGUUGCUCCUUUUCUGAUUAAGAUAGGGAAAAGUUUUUUUUAAGAGUCACUGACCUUGUUCCAUCCAAAUCUAUACAGAGGAAUUGUCCGUGGCGCCAACCAUCUUUGAAAUGUCCAAAGAAUAUCUCACCGGACUUUGAAUAGAACCGGCCUUCGCCACUGGCUUUUCCUUUCCAGAAAUUUGCAAACCAUCGAUCACCUUUGUGGAAAUAAAACCAACCCUGCAAGACAAAUGAACAAGUUUUGUUUUUCUAAUAAGAGAUAUAUUUGUACAGUCCUUUAUCAAACCUAUUCGAUAUAUUGGGGAAGUAGGAAACGCAUUUUAAAUGGCACCAGCUUGACAAAGUCUUAGGGACUUGGUGGUGAAACUAAGCAGUUGGUGCAAAAGUGUAGUCUCAAUAAGCUAAUCAAAAUUCGAAAAGGUCAAAAGACUAUUUCACCUUUCCGUGUAUUAAAUCUUCUCUCCAUGUGCCUUGGAACACGUCUCCAUUCUUGAAGUAGAAUGUUCCGAGACCAGAUCUUUUACCGUUGUGCCACAUUCCAUCAUAUAUGCUUCCAUCUCCAAGUACCAAACGACCCUGGUGGGAAUAGUCAGCUGUUACUUUCGGAUUAACUAAGAAGUCUGUCUCAAACAUAAGAAGAGGAUCCAUGGAUGAAUUGGUUUCAAUGAAUAAAACUAACAAGACAGAUUACCUUUCCUUCGGGAAGGCCUCCUUGGCAUCUUCCCUUGAAAAGUCCUCCUCUGUACUGCAUCUCAAGAAUAGGACUCCAUCUUUUUGAUGAAUCUCGUUCAGCUUCCUAAGAAUUAAAAAUGGAAAAUUUUCUCUCAGUUGGCAUCGACUUGGACGAUGUUUUUACAGAAAGACUCUUCAUCAUGGUUGCAGACUGAACCAAGGAGAAAACUUUGCCUCUAUAUGCAUUAUUGUUUGAAAAAGCAGCCCACUAGUAAGAAGAUGAUUGAUAUCUCAACCUCAUAAGCUGGUACAUUGCUACUUACCAGCAUAGACGAUGCUCGAGCGGAUAGAUUUCUUUGCUUUGUAAAAUCAGCAUAUUUCUCAGAUAGCAGGGUAGAUGCAGUAUCACUAGAGUCUUUUGUCGAGCCAUUAGGGUUGAAAAAUGAUUCUUCUCUGGAAUCAGCCUUCCUAGAGAGUUGACUGGCAACACUGAGAUUACUGUUCAAUUUCUUCGAAGGUCUCACACCAACAGGAAGGUUGACAAUUCCCAGGCUAAGCACUGCAGUGUCUCCAGAAUCAGCUUGCCAUUUCUGCUCAAUCUGAUAUCCCUGAUCCAUACUCCAAUUGGCAAUAGGCUCCCUCUGGAUAGCACCAAAAUCUACAAAAGAUGACUUUCAUUCACUUAAUCACUUUUAAAGUAGUUUAGGGCGUCACUACUUCAGCACCCUAUAAAUAACAAGUAAUAAAGCAUCUCGACCAAUACAACAUACAAAAAUAAGCAGCAACAGAAAGUUGUCUUCAAUUUUGUACCUUCUACAUUUUCAUCUUUAAGAUCCAGACGACUGUUUCUGGAUGGUUCCCCCUCUUUUAAUGGGUAUUCACUAUCAUCACCGUUCUCAGAAACUUCCAGGAGGUCCUCAGAGUCAAUUUCAAAUUCCUCAAUAUUCUGAUUGGAAGUUUUUACGUCAGUAGAGUCUGCUGAAUCUUUAAUUGAAACUGGCGUCUCUCCAAGUCCAAUAUUUGUUUCUUUUUGGAGCUGUGAACGAUAUCUCGUGAAGAUAUUUAAAACAAAAGGAACAAGACCAGAAAAAAUGUUGCCUUUGUUGGAUGUUUCCACUUCUGAAGAACUGUGAUGACAUUUGAGACUAGCAUUAAUGCUUAAAAGUGGUCACGAGAAAUAGAAUCUGAGUCUUGGUCAAAAGCAUCAUAGAUCUUAAUCAAACACAUAAAAAUAUAUGGUAUAAAUGCUGAAACCAUAUAUUUACUUUUCUUUGUUGAUUUUCAGCUAAAUAUGAUACCAUAUGCAUGAGCUUGAAAUUGUUAGCUGUCACUAAACAUGAAGACACACCUUAGAAUAAAAAACGUUGUGACACGCACUUUAGGCUCCAGAUCAGGCUCAUGAACAGUAGAUACUAUAAUAUCUCCAGUGUACUCCAUAGUUUGACGGAAAGUACGAAGAAUUGUUUUCACGUCUUUCUUCUGGAGAGGUACCGAACUAGCCACAAUGCAUAUAAUAGCGUUUAGAUCCUGCAUGUUGGUAAAAGCAUGGUUGAGACUUGAGAAGAAAAAGGUUACUUUGAAUAACAUAAUUUCGUAAGAAUUAUUUCAAGGAGCAUAUCAUUCGAGAAAAAUGCCAAAAUACACACAAACAAAAAUUUCAAAUACCCUUGCUCCUUUGGGAGAGUGAUACCAUCUGUUUUACCGGUUUUUUAUAAGUCACUAUGUUUAGAUUUAUUUUUUCCAAUUAUCAAAUCCUCGAAUUAAUGUUUUUAUAUUCACUUUAUUAUCAGACGAAUGAGGAAAAAAUCAAACGAAGAACUUAAGUAGGCAGAUGAAUCUUCUGUCGAAAGCUCUUUAACAGAUUAGAAAUACCUUUAGACCAGGUCGAAAGAAUGGGCAGUCAUAUAUAGCUCGUAAUAUCGAAGUCUUAAGGUUGUGACCAACUCCAAAACCAACCUUUGCCUCUUUGUAACUUUCUAGAAUCUGUACAUAAGAGAGUUGAAGGAUUGAAGACAAGCUGAAACUAAGGGUGACUAUACCAUACAGACAAAUGAAAUCUCAAGAAUAGGUAAGACUAUGAAGAUUUUUACUACUAAAACCCAAAAGAAACAAUUCCAAGAAACUUACCGUUUUAACUUCUGAACCUUCAAGUUCUUUAAGAUCUUUAUGCAUCACAUCGAUGAAGUUUCCAUGCAUCCCCUAGAUAAACCCAUGUAUGAAAUGACAAAAAAAAUUGAGUAUAAUAUGAGAGACAGCUAGAGCAGAAAAGUAACCUUACACUUAUCAGAGCGGAAGCUGCAUUUAUUGCCAUAGACACAGCAUUGUUUGCAUUUCUCAGCGCCUCGUCCAAAGUUACCAAAUCCUUCUGUAGUAAAACCUCUAUGUCGAUAUCUACAACGCCCAAAUUAAAGUCAGUUCAUGGCCAGCAGAACUACUAGAAGAAAAGGUAAUUUUUCUGACGCUAUUGUGUCAGGAAAUAUUUCACAAUGUUAAUAGACGUACCUAUACAGAAAUUGGUGUGUUGCUGCAGUUUUCUAGCCAACUCGUUAACCUGCACACAACCUGGGAAAUUAGAAAAAGAGAAAAGGCUCUAACUAGCAAUACUAAAUGAAGUUGAACUUGUCUGUAGAUAGGGACGUCAUUUACUGGGCUGUUUUCAGUUUGUUAUAUGGAAUACUGUAUAUAUUAAAAAAUGUUGACAAGAAAUGGAGAUGACAGAGAUUUGGGAAGGUGUGUUGUUGGAAAAACAUGAAGCCACUCGAAGGUUCUCCACCUAGUUUUCUUCUCUAUCAAUUCAGGUAUACAAGUUCUACUUACAGCACCAAUAAAAAAGUCCAAACACGUAACUAACUGCUUUAAUCUUAUUAUCAAGACUCUGGGAUGAUAAAAUGAAAGUCCAAAUUGGCUCUUUUGGUACAUAGCAAUCAACUACAACUUUAGAAGCAACAAAAAACUACCUCUUCUAGACGCUUUCGGCCUUCAAAGCUGAAAGGCUUUAAUAGCACAGCAACAGCUAAGUUACCCCCAGAUCUUACUGCACUAAGAAUAUUAAUAGCUUCAACCUGGUCAGAACCAUAUCCAGCACUAGCCACCUGGCAAGGGUAACAGUUUAAGCAGAAUCAGAUGCUCGGCCAAUACUAUUCCACGAAAAUAAAAUUCGAGAAAAAUUGAAAACCAUUAGCAUUUCAUUAAGAGCCUAAGCGAAUUUCGGAACCAUGGUUGUUAAUAAUCACUGAUCAAUUAGACACUGUGUAUCUUUUGCUACCUAUGGAACUGCGAAAUUCAAAAACGUUUUUGUAGCAGAAAACAGAACACAAACAAUGUUAGGCGAGAAAAGUACAAACAAGGAUGAAGGCCCUUGGACGUGACUGUAACAGCUCAAUUGGAUUCAUGGUCUUCAAGGCAUUAUCUGUAAACAGAAAGAGAGAAGCGAUAAGUAAGAAAGAUAGCAUAUCCCUCUAAUCUUCUUGAACAACUAGCUAAAUAUAUGCUAGUUGUUCAAGAAUCUGUUUUUAAUCAAAUUCAAAACUCAAACGGCAAGAAGAAACAGGAAAAGAAUAGAUUAUGGACCUUGGUGAUUGAGCCUCUGCUGUAACACUAAACCUCCAGAGCUGUCCUUGCUAAUACUCCUGAAAAAGUAGAUUUGGCAAUUAAAUUUGAUCCCUUUCACGAAUACACAGAGCGUACGUAAUCAAUUCAAGCCAUAAGCUUCGUCACUAGAAGAAAGCUACACAAUUUAGGAGUGUGCUAGGAAAGUCAGUAACAAUAAACUAUCAGAUUUCGAAAAUUAGACUACAACAAAGUGGCUAGUAGAUAAAACAGAAUCAUGGGCCGAACAAAAGUCGAGCAUAUACCAAAAUCGCAGAGGAAGAGAAGGAAAAGGAGAAUCCAAGCAUGAAUCCAUGAUAGACUCCUUGCGACUACCGAUGACAAGAACCUCAAUGAACUCGUCAGACCCAUCUUCUCCAGCUCUCUCGCACGUCUCUAUCGGAGCAGAAUCCCUCACUAAGCACAUCACGCAAAUCCGACGCGCCUUUCGAGAUGUACAGUUCAAUCGCGUCGUAGCACCAAGGGACGAAAACGGAACUCCAAAAGUAGGAAGUAAAGCUAAACGAGAGAACAAUGGUACUCGGAGAGUAGAGAAAACUGGAAGUUCCAUAGAAAUCGGCAUUGCUCCGCUUCUACGGAACCACUUCUUAGAAUACAGAACAAUUUAAUAAGUCACAUGAAAUUGAUAGAUGAUGAGAUUCGGUCGGAGCAUAGCAUGUCUGAAGUUCUCCCGAUAAUUCUGAAGCAGAAGAGGGAAGAGUGAGAAAAAUAUCAAGUUCGCCGGCACCGUGAACUGAUUAUUUAUUCAUUAACCCUUAUAUUACUACUUAUUUUAGUUUUGACCUCAUAUUUGUUUUUAUUGCUUAUGUACCCCUACUGUAAGUUGACGAAUCGGUGGCGGAGAUUAACUUUUGAACCGAUCAAUCACAUCCUCAUAUUUGGUCUACUAUCACUUUUAAUAGUUUACUUUCUUGGUCAAUGAUAUAUUUUAUAAUCAAAUUGUUUCAUUAUAAUAAAGAAAGAACUUAUCUUAGUCUUCUACAAUAAUGAGUCCAAUAUAUUCACUAAACAAACAGUUCUUUCUUAACAACAACUAGAGAAAACAAUUUCAAGGAAAAAUUUUACUUAGAAAAAAUCAACUAGACACGAUUUUUUCUUCAGCAUUUUAUACAUGAAUUGUUAUAUUUUUUUGGAUAUAACUUUAUCUUAGAAGAAAAUAUACUUAUACCAUUGUAAAAAUAAGGGAAUUUGGUCAAAAAUUCCAAAAAAAAACUUAUACUAUUGUAAAAAUAAAAAUAAAUGACAUCGAAAUAAUUAAUAAAAACAUCUGGUCCCCAUGAAACUCGUAUAUUAAUACUUCAGAUCCAAAAUUUAUGAAAAAAUAUCAAGCUCAAUGUAUUAAAUUAAAAAAUAUAAAUCAUUAAAAGCUAGAUUUUAUUCUUGUUUGGUACAACCAAUAAUAAUAAGUGGGGAAAAGUAUUAAUUAGAGUUUGCUUCACGUUUGAGUUUCACAAAAAGUGUAACGACGCCAGGAGAAUUUUAUCGGGUCGCAAGUGUCACCUUUGUGGAUUUUGUCUUCCCUGCAACUUUUGACCUUUUCGCACUCAGCGAAUCAGAUCGCUAUAGUACGGUGCACCCUACCGUCUCUGAUCAUCCCCACUGUCUUAAUUAGAUCCGACCCGAAACGUAUCCUUCUCUGAAACUUCGUUUGAGAUUCGCAUUCCUCUGUUCUUCCACCAUUUAACAAUUAUCCUCUUUUGUCUUCGCCAACUUCUUCCGUUUCUUCAUACUUCUCCAGGUACUUCGUCGAGUUCCUCGUGCUUUAGAUUGUUUUUGCUUUUUUCGAAGAUACGUGAGAGAAGUGUUUCUCUUGCUCUGUCUCUUCUUUGAUCUUAUAUCACGUGGGAUCUGAUUUUUUAGUUGCGGUAUUCACAAGUCUUUCCCAAUUUGAGGAUGUUUUGUCUCCGUGAUUUCUGUGUUUUUGUUUUGGAAUAUUGAUGAUUAUAGAUUCGAAAUUAUGCAGCUUUAGAUACUAACUAAAUGACGAAUCUUUUCUCAUUAUUCGCUUGUUGAAUCUUCCACUGAGCUCAUAGAUAAGGAAUUCUCUGUUCAUUGUUGCUUUUAGAGCUUAAUUCAUGUUCCUGAGAUUCAAAUUUGCAACCUUUUUCCCACUUAUGUAAGAAAAAAUGGCUUUUUAUAUAUUCUUCAUUCAUGGCUGUGUUGAUUAGGAAUCUCUAAUCUCUAUGUCUACUGUUAGAUUAAUUGUUUGGUAUUGAUACUCAAAUUGCAUAUAUUUAGGUUCUUGCAUUGGUUUUUUAUAGUAUCUUUUCUGCAACUGAGUCUUUGUAUUUACCAAAAAAAGAAAAAAACUCAAUCUUUGUGGGGAACUUAAAGGUGGCACUGAGUAAUAUUUGAAUCUCAUUGCUGCAGUUUUGUCUUGAGGUUUAUCUGGAAAAAAGAUGGAAGUUUGCGGGGAUCUGAAAUCUGAUAACUUAAAGAACCGCCCCUUGACUCCGCUUAGGAUUCUGAGGGGCUUGAUGAUCCUGCUGGUGUUUCUGUCUACUGCUUUUAUGUUUCUGCUGUACUUUGCACCAAUAGCUGCUCUAGGUCUACGGCUUCUGAGUGUGCAACAAUCUAGAAAAGUUGUUUCGUUAAUCUUUGGUCUCUGGUUAGCUUUGUGGCCUUACCUGUUUGAAACGGUUAACGGGACAACUGUGGUGUUCUCUGGAGACAUCAUUCCGGUUGAGAAACGUGUUUUGCUUAUUGCAAAUCACAGGACGGAGGUGGAUUGGAUGUAUCUGUGGAAUAUUGCCUUGAGAAAAGGCUGUCUUGGCUACAUCAAAUACGUGCUCAAGAGCAGCUUGAUGAAAUUACCUAUUUUUGGUUGGGGCUUUCAUGUUUUGGAAUUUAUCCCGGUGGAGAGGAAGCGGGAGGUCGACGAACCUGUUUUGCUUCAAAUGCUUUCAUCUUUUAAGGAUCCUCAAGAACCCUUAUGGCUUGCUCUAUUCCCUGAAGGAACCGAUUUCACGUACUAUAUGCUCCCUAUCUGAUUUAACUGCUCUAGAUAUAUUAGCUAAUACAUUAUUAAUCUGAAUCUUCGAAGAUAUCUUUCAGUUUCUCUUUGGUAGGAUAUUUAACACCAUGCGCAUCUGUCUUGCAAAUAUCUUAAACCAGUCACCCUCAUUUACAAUAAUUUGCCUGCUAUUGCAUGAAUGUUUGAAAUGCUGCUCUUAGUAUAUCUUCUUUCUAUUACUGAGACCUUCCUUAUUUGAUAUGCAGUGAAGAGAAAUGCAAGAGAAGCCAAAAGUUUGCAGCUGAAGUUGGUCUUCCAGCACUAUCAAACGUACUUCUACCAAAAACAAGGGGUUUUGGCGUUUGCUUAGAAGUUCUUCAUAACUCUUUGGAUGCAGGUAUGGUUCAUGAAAUUUUGUUACAAAUGUUGGUGUACAUAUAGUAGUAUCUCAAGCCACAUGUUAUGCAAACACUUAUGUGUUUUGACGACAUUAUGAUGGCGUGCAUAUCUUCUAUUUUUCCAAUGACCCAUGUGGGACCUCAUGACCACAAUUAACUGAACAAGGCAUUUCCUUUUAUUGCAAUGCAGUAUAUGAUUUGACUAUCGCAUAUAAACCUCGCUGCCCAUCUUUCAUGGACAAUGUAUUCGGGACGGAUCCUUCAGAAGUACAUAUCCACGUUCGGCGAGUUCUACUAAAGGAGAUUCCAGCAAACGAGGCAGAAUCUUCUGCUUGGUUAAUGGAUUCAUUUAAGUUGAAGGACAAACUGCUAUCCGAUUUCAAUGCUCAGGGGAAAUUCCCCAAUCAAAGACCAGAAGAAGAACUCUCUGUUCUCAAGUGCAUUGCAACAUUUGCAGGGGUAAUAUCUUUGACAGUAGUGUUCAUAUAUCUGACCUUGUAUUCACAUAGCUGUUUCAAAGUAUAUGCUUGUCUAAGCGGCACAUAUUUAACUUUUGCUACAUAUUACAAGUUCCAACCCUCACCUGGCUGUUUUAGAGAAGAUUCUUGUAAAGUUAAAAACCAUUAACUUUGUUGUAAAUACAAUUCUUUCUUUGUAUACAAAGAAAUAAUAUUACAGGCAGAAAAUAUCUCUGGGAUGCCUUUUUCAUUGUAAGUUCUUUGAUCUUCAGUUAGUUAAAAUUGUAUUCCAUGUUGUUCUCUUGAAAGUUGAAACUCACAUAGAUAGUUUGUGUAGUCUUUAGUCACAUUUUGGUUAUGUCAAAUUGUUUGAGUCUUGCAAGUGCCACUGUUAGCACUUUUCAUUCAAAACUGUCACGGAGCAAACAGAAUUUGGAAGGAAAAGUUGAUAUGUUGGAACUGUAGAACUCUUGUGUUUAUUGAGUUAGAAACAACAACAGGUCACUAAACCAUCUUGUCAAAAGGUGUUCUUACUUCUGAAUCAGUCAAGUAAAGGAAGUUUCCAUCUGAGCAAAACUUUGUCGGUGAUCGACAAAGCAUAGUAGAACCCACUUUGUCCCAAAAGAAUGUUACCUUCUUUUUGCAGGUGAUGAAAAAGAGAGUAAGAAGGCCGUUGCUCAGCACCCUUUCACUGAUACAUUGGAUCAUCUUUUUCAGGUAGAGCAUAGCAUCUCCUGUUUUCUUUAUAUGCAUAUCUAUAACUUGUCCACGUGUCAUCUUAUCUCUUUAUAUGAGUAGGUGCAGAUGAGCUCAGGUUAGUUUUGACUAAACCAACUUUCAUGAACUUUCUUUACUUUUUUGGUUGGGAAAGAUUUGAGAGGCACAAAACAAAACAAUGUCUAUUGAUACAUUUCUCUUAGGACAAUACAAGCUCAUGUAGAAUUGUAAUUCUAUAUCUAACCACACAAAGACACAUGUACAAUUGUAAUCGAUAACUAUGAGACAUAAUCUUCUUUUUAUUAACGCAAGAAAAAAAAAAUCAUCAAGGCAAAUAAAUGUUACACUGACAAAGAAAAUGGGCUAACAGAGUAGGCACAGAAAAUUAUAAUUAAUUGAAGUUGAUAACCCUAACUUUAAACCUCUGAGUCUCCAGCACUUAUAAAUAGAGAAUCGGUGCCAGAGAUUCAUCAUCAUCCACAUCACAUAAACACAAAAUCCGGUUUUUAAUAAUGGCGAAAAUCUCCAGUAUUCACAUUCUCUUCUUCGUCUUCAUCACAAGUAACCAACAACAAAGCACACUCUGUUUUUGUUUCUUCUCUGUUUCACUUAUGCAUUUAGGUUUUUUGGUUGUAUUUAACUGUUUUUGAAAUUGCAGGUGGCAUUGCUGAUUCCGCCACCGUAUUCACUUUACAAAACAGUUGUGCGUACACCGUUUGGCCGGGAACUCUCUCCGGCAACAGCAUCACCCUCGGCGACGGCGGAUUUCCCUUAACUCCAGGCGCUUCCGUGCAGCUCACGGCUCCUACCGGUUGGUCAGGCCGGUUCUGGGCUCGUACCGGCUGCAACUUUGACGCCUCCGGUCACGGUACCUGCGUCACCGGAGACUGCGGCGGCGUUUUAAAAUGUACCGGCGGCGGAGUUCCUCCAGCGACUCUAGCGGAAUUCACCGUGGGAUCAAGCAAUGCCGGCAUGGAUUUCUACGACGUGAGCCUCGUCGACGGUUACAAUGUAAAGAUGGGGAUAAAACCACAGGGAGGAUUCGGAAAUUGCAAAUACGCAGGCUGCGUCUCGGACAUCAACGAGAUUUGCCCUAGCGAGCUUAGGAUCAUGGAUCCGAAUUCGGGAAGUGUCGCGGCGUGUAAGAGCGCUUGCGCGGCGUUUAGUUCGCCGGAAUUUUGCUGUACUGGUGCUCACGCGACGCCGCAAACUUGUUCUCCGACGUAUUACUCGUCCAUGUUUAAGAACGCUUGUCCUAGCGCUUAUAGUUACGCUUACGACGACGCAUCGAGCACUUUCACUUGUACCGGAUCUAACUACUUGAUCACUUUCUGCCCUACCCAGUCUUAAAACCGGAGCUCCGGUUUAGAUUUGGGUUGGGUUUCUCUCUCUCACGUUUCUUUUGCUUGUUAUGUACGGAAAGAGAAAUAAAGAAAGAUAUGAUAAGGAAAAGCGACUAUGAUCCAUUUUUAAAGAUUUUUUCCAGUGUUCUGUUGUUACACACACACACACCCAUCUCAUUUGCAAAUUUGCAAUGUUGCUUUGAUUAGCACAAUAGUAUAUUGAGACUAACAUAUCAAUAUCUGGAUUACUAAAGACAGAUGAAUGCUUCAUUAGGGGGUUAAUAAUUGUGUGUUUCAGGUCAUUGGUUCUCUUCUUCUUGAUAUACUUACUAACAUGAGAGAGCAAUAAAAACUUUUAGUUCACCCAAAAGAGACAGAGCUAAAUACAUUUUCAGCCACGGAAUGGUUAAAAUAUGUGACCCGCGCACAGAUUCGAUAAAGUCUACAAGACAGCUUGUUAAUUUCUUAAGGAGAUCGUACUAAUGCAGUUAAUAUAUCACUAGUGUUUAUUGCUUAUUUUGGUUUCCACUUGUAAGCUUUCUUUAUUCCUGUGGCAGCCUAAACGAAUCCUACAAUAGCCUGAAGCUCAUCCAUUUUCUGUAAACCAGAGAAUGUCUCAUAAUUCACACCACUGGGCAUUGUCUUGCAAAUAUGGAUAGACCAGUAACCCUCAUUUUGCUAAUUAGCAAUGCAUGGAUGUAUGAAAUGUUUAUUGAAUCAGGUUAGAUGGUUCAAAGUAGGUUGUAUUGUCGGUCUUAGUGGAACUUGGUUCGAGAUAGACAUAAGAACCAUUAUAUAUUUAUCUCGGAGGUGUAUUAUAUUAGAAUUAGAAUCUCACUCUAAAAGUUCUUGGACGGAGCUAAAAUAACAUAUAAGAGACAUGUGCAAAUCCAUUCAAAACCAAUAAACUCUUCAACUGUAUUAUAAAUCUUACAACUAUUAAUGUCUAAUUUUAGCUAUUGCCACUACGGUCUAAAAUCUUCGAAACCGUGUGGACCAUAUAACCCUGAUGAGUGGGACUAAUAAGAUUUUUAACAUUACCCCUUAGAAUAGAAAGGUCCUAUGCUAUGUAUUAGUACAAGGAAAUUUCAGCAGCCACGUUUUUUUACCACACCACUGCUUAUACUAAUUAGGAGGAUUACUUAGCUUGGUUUAAGGGUUUAGUAAGAAAAGUCCAUCUUCUUCCUCUCUGUACGCCCUUUGAAUCUCAUCUCAUAAAGAGACAAUUCUUUCUAGCUCCCAUCACCCUUUUGCUGAUUGCUGAUUAGUUUUCCCUUUUCAUAUCAGAUAUUAUAUUUCGAGAUUUGACAUAUAUAAUACAAUGUUUUCGAUAAACUACAAAACCAAUUUCGAAAAACAUAUAAGUUUUGCUGGAAAAAGCCGUCGUUGAUCAAAGCCACACGACAGGUUUUAUGCCUAACAACGUUGACCCAUUAAUGAAAGGACUCAAAAGCAACCCUCAUAGUCACGGCAAGAUUCAAUUACUUUUCCUCGGACCCAAAGUUGGUUCAAUUUAUGAACCAGUUUCUACGUCUAAGUCAGUCGUCUCACCUUAUAAUCUUUAAAGUCUCCCGCUGCACUAAUCACUCCGUUUCAUCGUUUUAUAUAUCACUUGAUUUUAUUUUAUUUCAUAAAAUAUUUUUUUUUAAAUACAGAUUUUUCUUCAACUAUGUUCUAGACUUCUAGAAGCCAUAAAAGAUUACAAUAUUAUUAAAAUGCGGGACAAAACUACAUAACGAUACCAUUUAACGUACGAAAUAUUUCUAAUUUACCUAUUCGUUUAUAACCAGAUUUUAUACCUGUUUAGAUGUUUACUGUUUUAAAAACUACACAUUCAUGGUCAUGGAGGAUAUGAUAUCUAAAACCUUAGGAUUCAAGCUUUCGCGUUCAAGUAGCAAAUCAGGCCUCUUAUGUAUGCAUCUGUUCCGGUCUUAUAAUCGAGGAUUCACACCAAAUUAAAAAGCAUCGAUCUAUUCGGGUUUCAUACAAUCAUACUCAUGGGUUACAACAGUCAACAAACACAUCUAUCUGGUCAUCUGGAUCUCAAACUCGCACCUCACAACACAAUAUCUAACCGAUCCGGAUCUCAUAUUCAAUUCGUGGAUCACAAUUAGACACAUCUAAUUGGAUCUCAUAGUCGCGGAUCACAAUUAAAUUCAUCUAUACAGAUAUCAUACUCGCGGACCACACAUCACAUGACAUAAAACAUCACACUGAACCCUAAGGUUUAGUGUAGUGUGCAUCAGCCAUGGCCGAGUCAAAAUGUUAAGAUUUUUUUUUUACCAUUUAUAGUAAACUAAUGGAAGUAAAAACCAGUAAUGCAAAGAAAAUUCAGAGAACCAAAGGAAAUAUCUAUCAAGACACCAAAAAUUCUAAUUGAUUAAUCAUGACAACAUUACGUCGCUACCCCUCGAACCAACAUCUAUAAAUAGAGGAUCGGUGCCAUUAACAUUCAUCAUCAUCACCCACAGCACAGAGACACACACAAAAAACCCAUAAAAAAAUAUGGCAAAUAUCUCCAGUAUUCACAUUCUCUUCCUCGUGUUCAUCACAAGUAACAACAUCAAACACACUCUAUUUCUGUUUCUUCUCUGUUUCACUUAUAUAUGUCUUAUCUUUCUCCUUUCAUUAUUACAUUCUUCACCUGUUUUGUCUGUUUUUAAGGAGAAUAGCUUUCAAUACUGUUUCUUAAGUUUCCUUUUCUGAUGAUUUCUUUUUCUUUUGUUCAUCAUCUUAGAUCACAACAUAUUGCACCAUUAUUUCUCAAAAUUGUUUCGUAUUUUUGAUGUUUUUGUUUUUUUUUAAACUGCAGGCGGCAUUGCUGUUAUGGCCACAGACUUCACUCUAAGGAACAAUUGCCCUACCACCGUCUGGGCCGGAACUCUCGCCGGUCAAGGACCCAAGCUCGGCGAUGGAGGAUUUGAAUUGACUCCAGGUGCUUCCCGACAGCUCACGGCUCCUGCAGGAUGGUCAGGCCGGUUCUGGGCUCGUACAGGCUGCAACUUUGACGCCUCCGGAAACGGUAGAUGUGUAACCGGAGACUGUGGCGGUCUAAGAUGUAACGGCGGCGGAGUUCCUCCCGUCACUCUGGCUGAAUUCACUCUAGUAGGCGAUGGCGGCAAAGAUUUCUACGAUGUGAGCCUCGUAGAUGGUUACAAUGUCAAGCUGGGGAUAAGACCAUCCGGAGGAUCGGGAGAUUGCAAAUACGCAGGCUGUGUCUCUGACCUCAACGCGGCUUGCCCCGACAUGCUUAAGGUCAUGGAUCAGAACAAUGUCGUGGCCUGCAAGAGUGCCUGUGAGAGGUUUAAUACGGAUCAAUAUUGCUGCCGUGGAGCUAACGAUAAGCCGGAAACUUGUCCUCCCACGGACUACUCGAGGAUUUUCAAGAACGCUUGCCCUGACGCCUAUAGCUACGCUUAUGACGACGAAACGAGCACCUUCACUUGUACCGGAGCUAACUACGAAAUCACUUUCUGCCCUUAAAAACCGAAGCUUCGAGUUAGAUACAGUCGGGUUUAAUUAUCUCUCACGUUUCUUUUGCUUAUUAUGUACGGAAAGAUAAAUAAGGAAAGCUGAUGACUAUGAAUCAUCGUCUUCCACUUUUAAGCUUUUUUAGUGAGUAUUAGUCAGUUGUUACACUCAGCUGAUUUGUUUACAAAGAAAUAAAACAAAAUGAUUGAUCUACGGAUACUUAUCUAUUGCAUUCCAUGCUGUGUAAGUGAGAGAUCAUGUAUCUUUCUGUUCGAAACGGAAUUUUGAACGUUCUUUACCAAAGAAAAAGUCUAUAGAUACAUUUUUCAUCAACUCACUUAAAAGAAAACUUAACAGCUAUUAAUACCUGAUAAAACCAUGGCCGCAUAUAUAGAUUAAAACCGUGUGGACGAUGUAAACUCUGAUUUAAGAAACAAAUAGAAUUCUGAUUAGUUAACAUUGAGCGAGCCAUUAAUGAAAUGGCCCUAAGAUAAUGAAAAGUUCAAGGAAAUUAAUCGUCACGACCGUUUACAAAUAAUAAAAACCAUUUACUACUCCGACACACAGUUAAGUAAAUUUAUGAAACUUGAUUCUAUGUUUAAGGUACUCUUCUCACCUUUUAAAUUUCAAAGUCUCCCCUCUGUACUAUUUCUGAACCCAUUCGUGGAAUGGUGUACACGAAUUUUAGACGACAUGUUUGUUUUUGUUUUAGAGAUUAAAACAAAAACGUAUUUUAGAGAUUAGACGACAUGAAACGUAUUUUUGUAAAGAAAAAAGGAAUGCUAAAAGAAACUACCAGGGAAUAAAAAUAAUGAAAAUAGAAAGUCCAAAACAAAAUAAUAAAGGAAAAUACAAGACACAAUUGAUGGAAUCAUGAGAUUGGAAGACCAUCACACGAUUGUGGGAUGUUCUUGCGCAGGAUCAUAGUUGUGGGUUGUUUUUUUUAACGGAACCUCACACGUUCGUCUGGAAAAUAGUACACGUGCGGGGAUCUCUUCACGUCUCUUUGAUUUUUUGGUUUUUAAGUUAAGAAAAAUAUUAACUAUUGGGCAUGCUCUUUCACCAUUACUGUUAAAAAAAGAAAAAUAUUAACUAUGACCCACGAUAUUUCCUUUUAACCGUCAACUUUUUAAAAAACUUUAGUAAAAUAACGCAAUAAAUACCAUUACUGCCAAUAAACUUCACAGAGCCAAAGAACAUGGGUUAACAAUAGGCACAACUACAGUAUAUUUUUACUGUAAACUGAAAAUAUUUACCAAAAUUAAAAAUGAUAACACUACCUCGGAAAAGCACUUAUAAAUAGAGGAUUGGUGCGAGUAACUGACAUUCAUCAUCAUCAUCAUCAUCAUCAUCAUCAUUCACAGAACACACACACACAAAACUCGUUAAAACAAAGAUGGCGAAUUACUCAAGUAUUCACAUUCUCUUCUUGGUCUUCAUCACAAGUAAAGAGCAAUCACACUCUGUUUCUGUUUCUGUUUCUCCUCUGUUUUAUCUGUUUCUAAAUGAGAAUAAUUUCGAUACUAUUUCUUAAAACUAUAUUUUUUUAUGUUCAUUCGUCUUCAAAUCACAACAUAAUUCUCCAAAACAUAUCGUGUUUUUUCUUCGGAUUUAACAGUUUUUAUUGUUGUUGUUUGUUUUGAAAUUGCAGGCGGCAUUGCUGUUUCCGCCGCCACCGUCUUCACUUUACAGAACAGUUGUCCUUACACCGUUUGGCCUGGAAUUCUCUCCGGCAACGACAACACCCUCGGCGACGGCGGAUUUCCCUUAACACCAGGCGCUUCCGUACAGCUCACGGCUCCUGCAGGAUGGUCAGGACGGUUCUGGGCUCGUACCGGCUGCAACUUCGACGCCUCCGGCCACGGUAACUGCGGCACCGGAGACUGCGGCGGUGUUCUUAAAUGUAACGGCGGCGGAGUUCCACCAGUCACUCUGGCUGAAUUCACACUUGUAGGCGACGGCGGCAAGGAUUUCUACGACGUGAGUCUCGUCGACGGUUACAAUGUCGAGAUGGGGAUUAAACCUCAAGGAGGUUCCGGUGAUUGCCAUUACGCCGGCUGCGUCGCCGACGUCAACGCGGUUUGCCCUAACGAGCUUCGGCUCAUGGAUCCACAUACAGGAAUCAUCGCGGCGUGUAAAAGCGCUUGUGCGGCGUUUAAUUCUGAGGAGUUCUGUUGUACCGGUGCUCACGCGACGCCGCAAACUUGUUCUCCGACGCAUUACUCGGCGAUGUUUAAAAGCGCUUGCCCUGGUGCUUACAGUUACGCCUACGACGACGCCACGAGCACCUUCACUUGUACCGGCUCUAACUACUUGAUCUCUUUCUGCCCCACCCGGAACUAAAAAACAGGAGCUCCGGUUCAGAUUUCACGUUUCUUUUGCUUAAUAGCACUUUGGUUCAUAUUUUUCCAUUUUAAAGAUUUUUCUAGUACUCAGUUGUUACAUUCAUUUCAUUGGCAUUGUUGUUUUGAUUUGUAUCUUGUUUUAUAUUUUACAAAGUAUUGAUUUUGCAUUACCUAUUUUAUUUGAGAUCUGGAAAAACAAAGAUGGAGGCUUCAUUAGAGAUUUUCUUUGUUUCAUAUCAUUUUGUUCUUGAUGGACCUAAUUACAUGAGAGAGCAAUAACAACUACUAGUGUUUACCAAAAGAGAGAGAGCUAAACUAUUUACCCAAACUUUUUAAGCCGCGGAAUGAUUAAAACAUGUGACCCGCGCAGAUAUUUGUUAGUCUAUUAAAGGAGAUUUAGCUGAUGCAGUUAAGGAUCAGUGUUUCUGGCUUCUUUGGUCUUCCACUUGGCAAGCCUUCUUCAUUCCUGUUGCAGCCUGAACGAAUCCCACAAUAACCUGAAGCUCAUCCAUUUGCUGUAAACAAGAACAUGUCUCAGACUAAUCCAAAAUCAGAAGACAACAUUCACAAACAUAUCAUAGCUUUGAUGUCUACCUGAGACAUGAAGUGUCUCUGAAUAAUGUCAAUUAGUUGCUCCUUUGUGGGAUUCGGAAGAGCAUCCACCUAUACGAAAAAGAGAUCAAUGAAUCACCUGUUGUAAAAAACAAAACACUCUCUUCCACAAUAAUCAGUAACAUAAGAUUGUUUCUUUUGAACUCACGAGGUUAAAAUGUCGCCAAUAUCUCAGUAAUGCAGCCAUAUCCAACUUGGUAAGAUCAACCUUCUGCGUUAAAACAAUAUUCCCAAAUCAGUAACACAUAGCAUUAACAUGAAAACCCCCACCAAGUAGAAGAAAUUUGAGGCCUUACCAUGUUCAGACGAGGAGUAAUACUCGAGAUUUUUGAGUGUGAGUCACAAGAAACUUCCCUGUACAAAGCCUUUUGAGAUAACCGCGAUGAUCUGUGUCCUCUCUUCUUCGACUUAUGAGGCUUCAAAGUGUCCUCAGUUGCUGCAAAAGACAAUCAAAGAACGGUCUUUAUGAAACAUUUCAAAAAGACUAAAAUUUGGUACUUUAUUGCAGAGACAAGGAACCAAACUUACUCAUAUCGGAGGGAUGAUUCCACUGUGUAGAAUGGUCGACUUCAAGAUCAUUGUCUUCUUCGUUCCCUGUAGGAUGUUCAAGAACACUAAGCGCAUUCCUCUGCAACUUCACUUCAAUUCCAUUAGUCAAAACCUGAAAAUUUAAAGCAAAAAGGACAAAGAUUAAAAAUUGAACUCCACAAACAAAGUAAAGUUUGGGACUUUUUGAGAAAUGGGAAUGGUUGGAGACAAGAAGUGGUGGAAUUUGAUAUCGAUAUUAGUAAAAAAAAAAAUGAUGCUUUGGGUUAUGAGGAAAUCGUAUAAGAUACUGAUUUUUAUUGUAUAGCUAGAGAAAUGAUCAAAAAAGGAUCAAAGAAAGUAAAAUUGAUAAUAUAAAAACUAGGAAGCCUAAUGAAACGGAGAACAUCUAUAAAAAGUUUAACAUUUUUCAGUGGAUGAAAAUGACCAAUCUGAAAAAGAAAGAACAAAAACCCUAAAUAUUAUUAAUUAAAGUAUAUCAAAAUUAGUGACUACAAGUAAAACAAAUCUAAAAGCCAGCUUGAACCCACAAAGAUAAGGAUUCUCAAGGAAUUGAUUGAGAAAAAGUAACACAAAAGUUAAAAAUAAAUAUAAAAAGUGCAGAUCGUUAUGAUGCAAUUUAACAAAAUAAAGUUAUGAUAUUUUAAGAACAAUCAAUCUAAUCGGUAACAUAGAACAACCAUUGAUUUUAUUGCAUUAUUGAGCUAAUGAUUCUGGAUCUUUUGUUAAUCAGUUUUUAAAAAUCUACUCUACUGGGGGAAUAAAAACACAGACAGACACAAAGAUGCAAAAAAGACAAAACGAGGUAAAGAAGAAAGCGAAGUUGAUCUUUGCUCACCAGCCAAUGCCAACCACCGAGUCCGACGGCUUUCUUAACGACGCCUUGAAGACCGACGAGAACAGAUUUGGUACGGUUGUUUCCAGUAACGACAACUUUGGUAUGACGUGGCAACACUGACAAUUCUUCUUCGCUACUGCAAUCGCCGAAGCAACUCUGUAGCUGAGAGAAUCCUCCUCCUCCUCCAUUGAGGAUGCUUGACUUGUUCACCGGAGCUUCCAGCAUUUUGUGUUUUCUCUCUCUCUCGUUUUUUCCCUCUCUAUUAUCAGAAAGUACCACAAGCUUUUUUACGAUCUCGGAAAUGGAAGUUGGUGCAUUUUGUGAAGGAUUGAGAAAUGGAGUAAGAGAGAAAUCGAGCUGAGAAAUUAGGGUUUGUUUUUGGUCUGAUGAAGAAAGACAGAGUAAGAGUGAGAGAAGAAAGAGGAAAAAGCAGAGUGUAUUAUGAUGAGUAAGAGAGAGAAAGAUAGAGAUACAGAGGAGGGAAGGGAAGGGACGAUAGGCGAUAGCGACCGCCUUCCUAUCGUGACCAAUAAGGUAUCAACACGUGUGUUUUGUACUUGUAUCAUUUGCACUGUGGAAAUUGAGCGGUUUUUUCAUGGAUGGGUACCAAAACCUUUUUUUGUUUUUUACCGAGAGCUUUUUUACUUUUUACUCUCUAAUAAAGAUGAAUUCAUUUGUUGGAAAACUUGUAUUACUUUUUACUCUUUAUUCACUGUAUUACUUGUCUUGUCUUGGUUGUGAAGAUUUAGAUUUUGUAAAAACGAAAUUGAAACAAAAAAGAAAGGAGUGGAUACGUUUGGUUAAUUUGUAUGAAACAUUUUGGGUACUAAUUUGUAUUGGAAUCUGAGAUUGAUGCUUUUAGAGGGUUUUAAAAUGAUCAAAAAAGGAAAACGAGGGCCACACUUCGUAAAUUUUGUGUAAUGUCUACACGCGAUCGACGUGAAUAUGAAUGGUUGACUGGGUUUUUUCAAAAUAAAAAAAAAGUCAGGAGUUAUGGGGCCCAUGCAUGCGUAAGUUACGAUUAUACCCCUAUUGUUUAUUUGUUUUCGUUCCUCUCCAAUGUAAUUUGAAUUUGAAAUCACGCCUCUAUUAAAUAUGUCAUCGUAUAAUGUCCAUAUUGAACAUUUAACUAAACUAAAACAAUGUUCAUGGAGUGAUUCUUAAGCCAACAUUUUUUCUUGUUCAAGACAUAGCAUUUUGUAAGUUUGAUGGUUUAAAGUAAUGUACUUAUUGUCCAAAACGAGUUAGCUAGGUAACAUGGAGUUAAUCGGAAAAACAGAACAUAUUUCCAAAAAAAACAUACUUAACACAUAAUCUACUUAUUAUCACAAGUAGGUUACUAGUGCCAAACCAAAGAAGAAAACCCCUAAAUUCCUUUUAAUGCUAGAAACGAAAGCUGGUAUUAAGAUUUAACUGAUGAUUUAAAACGUAUCACCAAUAAUUAACACAUAAUCGCUCGAUUAGCAACAAAGUCGUUGUAGUAUAGUGGUAAGUAUUCCCGCCUGUCACGCGGGUGACCCGGGUUCGAUCCCCGGCAACGGCGAUUACUUUAGUUUUGCCUAAUUCAUCGAACCCUCUGAUUCAUUCCAAAUGUUUCCCAACUCGCGUUGAUGGUUCGGGUUCCUCUGCUUUUAAGACAUUAGUUACAUGCUCCUGCACUUUCUACAAAAUAAACGUCAUAAUCCAAAAAUAUUACAUGAUCAUACAUCAUAUAUGCCGCCGAACCUUGUUAUGGGACAAACUCGUAAACCCCUUUUUCCUUUUAUGUUCAAUGAACUAUACAAGUUUUGGUUAUGAAUACAUAAAUAAUGAUGGACCCAGCAAUUAAUCCAAAAUUUGGAUAUUAGAUACUAAAGCUUAAAAUCAACAUGUAACCAAACUAAAUACUUUAUAGAACAUAGUAAAUGGUAUUCACCAAUCUUUAUAUCAUUUGUAAGGUACGAAGAAGGUAAAAAAAAGAGAGAGCCAGUGUACAUACAACUAAUCAGGACAAAAGUAGUCAAAAUUGUUUCUAAAGUGAGAUUUGUAUGCAAGAAAAAAGUGAUAAUUUUUAAUUGAAUAUAUCAUUAUGAUGUUAAUCACACGGCUUCACUGUAUAAAAUAAAAUUUUAAAAACCAAUCAAAUGGUGUGUUUUUCGGUCACACAAGUAAGGGACCCACACUGAAGAAACGGUCCCACUGUGUCUCCUCCUUUCUUUUCUCUGUAUUAUUUGGUCAUUACUCAUUUUACAUACUCACAGAAAAAAAAAAAGAUUAGAACAUAAACACACGUUACUAAGCGUAGUUAUCCUCUGCACCUUAACAUACACCUCUUAUAUUCACCUCACGUAAUCUCACCCUUCCAAAACCAUGUAUUUACACGUGGACGAUCGAUACACAAGAACAAUGAUUCUUAAUAUGAACUCAAUGUACUUGAACACACACACGACCCAAUUUUUACAUUAGAUGAAAAAAAUAUUAUUAUUUGUUGGAGAAGAAAGAGAGAUUCUUCUUCUUCGAUUCCAGCGAAGGAAAAGCGUAUUCCUCGUGAGCACUAACUUCUCACUCCUCUCUUCUUCUUCUUCAUCAGUCUACGUUCACACAAUCUUUCACCCACCUAUUCAAAGCUCUCUCCGGAAGUUUCGAGGGGUUGGUUGUUGGUUUUCCCGAUGACUUCGGAUGGAGCUACGUCGACAUCAGCAGCUGCAGCUGCGGCGGCGGCAGCAGCGGCGAGGAGGAAGCCGUCGUGGAGAGAAAGGGAGAAUAAUCGGAGGAGAGAAAGACGGAGAAGAGCUGUAGCUGCGAAGAUAUACACUGGGCUUAGAGCUCAAGGUGAUUAUAAUUUGCCUAAACAUUGUGAUAAUAAUGAAGUCCUUAAAGCUCUUUGUGUUGAAGCUGGUUGGGUUGUUGAAGAAGAUGGUACUACUUAUCGCAAGGUGAAGACUUUCUCCAUUUUUUCCAGAUCUGAGCUUGUUUUAUUGAUGUUUUUGAUGUUUGAAUCUGAAUUCGUUGAUUUCAAUUGUGGUUAAAUGGGUUUGAAUCUGAGAAUUUGAGGGUUUUCUCAAAGUGAAUUUGAAUCAUCAGAAACUAUGGAUGGAUCUGAUUUCUCAAAGUGAAUUUAUGGGUUUUCUUUCUAAUUUUAGAGUUAUUAUUGGUAUGCUAAAGUCUUAAUCUUUUAUGUAUGAUACUUGGUCCAAAGUCAUUGCAUUGUGUUUCUUUUGCUUACCUGUGAUUGAUUGAUGUUUGAUUGGUUAUUGUUUUGCUUUUGUUGGAGUAUCAGGGAUGCAAGCCUUUACCUGGUGAGAUAGCUGGGACUUCAUCUCGAGUAACUCCAUAUUCAUCACAGAACCAGAGCCCUCUUUCAUCAGCCUUUCAAAGUCCCAUCCCAUCUUACCAAGUUAGCCCGUCUUCUUCAUCAUUCCCGAGUCCUUCUCGCGGUGAACCAAAUAACAACAUGUCCUCUACAUUCUUCCCUUUCCUCAGAAAUGGUGGCAUUCCUUCUUCUCUUCCUUCCCUCAGAAUCUCAAACAGUUGUCCAGUUACCCCACCGGUCUCAUCGCCGACUUCUAAGAACCCGAAACCGUUGCCUAACUGGGAAUCUAUCGCUAAGCAAUCCAUGGCCAUUGCUAAACAAUCAAUGGCGUCUUUUAAUUAUCCUUUCUAUGCGGUUUCUGCACCUGCUAGUCCGACACAUCGCCACCAGUUUCAUACCCCGGCUACUAUACCUGAAUGUGAUGAGUCUGACUCUUCCACUGUUGAUUCUGGUCAUUGGAUAAGCUUUCAGAAGUUUGCACAACAACAGCCAUUCUCUGCCUCUAUGGUGCCAACCUCUCCUACCUUCAAUCUUGUGAAACCUGCGCCUCAGCAGAUGUCUCCAAAUACUGCUGCCUUCCAAGAGAUUGGUCAAAGCUCUGAGUUUAAAUUUGAGAAUAGCCAAGUUAAACCCUGGGAAGGAGAGAGGAUACAUGAUGUGGGUAUGGAGGAUCUUGAGCUUACACUUGGAAAUGGGAAGGCUCGUGGUUGACAUAAACAACUAGGCAAACCCAAAUGGCAUGUCAUUGGAAUAUGAGAAACUAAUCCUCUUGAGUAUUUUCUUCUUCGUCCAGGUAUUUGGAUCUUUAUGGAAUCUCAUAUGUUCUUCACUUAUUAUCCAAAUAUGCUGCCCAAAGCCUUCUCCAUGGAAGCAUUGGAGUGUUAGAGUGGUUAUUCAAUUCAUGAAUUUGGUUUCAAAAGCAUUAUUUGUAGAUAAAAAAAUCUUAAGAUGUAUGAUUCUGUUUCCUUACAUAUGUUACAUUAAUUAGUGGCUUGAAACUGUCUUGUGUCUUGUCAAAUUGCUUAGUCAUAUAUCAUUUCUUGAGCCGAUUCUGUCUCUUAGCAUCAAGAUCCAAAAUUUGCAAAAACAUUUGCUUUUACAAAAUGUUAAAUUCUUUAUUUCCCUGCAAUCAAUCUUUUGGUCAAACACUAACACAUCAUCAAAUAUCUAGUUAGACAAAGCUAGCUAGGAUAGUAGCAUAAUCAAUGAACACAGCUAGCUACAAAUGGUACAUUCCAUAACGAAUACAAACACUGGUCACUCAUCUUCUUAAUAGUCCAAUCCCUGUUUCUGAUCAAACAAGUAAUGGAGAAUGCAGAUCCAGUUUGGUUUCAGUCUCAUGGCUUUUUGUUUCUCUCUCAGUCUCAACAUUACAUUCUUGGUAUCUGAAACAAGCUGUGAGAUGAUCAUUAACAAUGCCAGAGGCCUGCAAGAAGGAAUACAUAACAGUAGGACCAACGCAGCGAAACCCUCUCUGCAUCAUAUCUUUGCUAAUGUACUCUGCCUUUGGGGACUUAACCGGUACUUGACGACCAUAUCGAUAGCCAUUUCUUAAUGGCUUGUGGUUCACAAAUCUCCAACAAUAAUUACUGAACGAUCCAAAUUCCUGCUUGACCUGUUUUCAGAUUACAACCAAAGCUAUUUCAGUAAACACAUAGUAUCUACAAUUUCAUAGCAAAACACACAGUGCCUACCUUGAGAACAGAUUUCGCGUUCUCUACAAUUGCUCGCAGUUUCUGUUCGGAUAGAAUUAGACACCCAUUAACUCUAAGAGACAUCAACCUCUUCUCUGUGAAUUGUGCUAUAGCUGAAGGAUCAAACUCUUCAAAGAGCUUCCUACAAAAAAGAAACCAAAACUUCUGAUAUCACACCAAACCAAAACACAAAAUAGCAAAUUCACCGUCCUAAGUUUACCUAAAGUCGUCUCUUCUGCGUAGGAUUGAAGGCCAGCUAAACUCAGCCAAAGCUUGUGAGAAGACAAGUAGCUCGAAGAGUUUCUUGUCAUCACGAACUGGAACACCCCAUUCCUCGUCGUGGAACAAAACAUAGAUCGGGUCUGUUUGAUCAAUCACCAUUAUUAUUAUUAACUGAAAAACUUACAUAUCCAAUGUCAUCAAUCAUCUUCUACAUUUUUUUUUGUCCUUAUUUAUCAACUACAAUACCUAGUUUUUGCUAGGUGCAAUUAAUGUGUUGUUGACAUCUAUGAAAACUGAUUGUAACCUUUAUUAACUUUAACGUAUUAUCAAAACAAAAUUACAUUUCGAAAACCAUAAAAAGCCAUUCACAUGGCAUCAAUUUAUAAAGUCGAUUGAGAUAUUUUAUUGGGGCCAAAAACGAAGAAAUUUGGUAAGUAUCUUUUAAUUCUUUGCAGAUUCAUUAAAUGUUGUGACAAGGACAACAAGUCUCUACAUAGUGUAAAACAUUUUAUUCCUAACAAUAAAACCUAAAAACUAAUAUUUUGUUUUAUUCUUUAAAAAUAUACUCCCUCGUUCCUUUUUGUUUGAUUGUUUAGAAAAAAAAAUUGUUUCAAAAAGAUUAAUUUUUUAGAUUUUCAAUACAAUAGUUAUUAGUUAUAAUUGAUAAAUUGUAAACUUCAACACAAAUUAGUGAAUAUCAUUGGUUUAAAGUUAUUGAAAAUUGUAAAUCACAAAAAAUAAUACAUUUAAAUGCAACAUUUAUUAUGUUUUCUUAAUAUUUGUGUAUUUUCUAAAAGAUCAAACAAAAAGUAACAGAUGGAUUAUAUACUUCCUCGUUAUUCACGAAAUUCAGAGGUAAAAAACAGAAUUUUCUCUAAAUAAAUGAGAGAAAAAAUGUGAAUUUAAAUUAAAGUUAAAUGAGGCAAAGAGGGAAAAAAAAAGGUGUCAGACAAAGAGACCUGAAUUAGGUGUGAUCCAGUGGCAUCUCUUGACCGGUCCCGGAAUUUUAGGACUAAUGUCUUCAACGACGGCGACGGAGGCAACGACAUUAUUGAGCUUCUCAACUCCGUUCCGUUUCGACGGAGUGGUUACUUUCCCAGAGUUUGUCGUGUUCACUGACGAACGUUCCGAGGAUGAAGAAGAAGAAGAGGAAUCAUCAGUCGAAACUGAGAAAUUGGAAUCGGGCUUCUUCGUCGCCGGAGAUUUCGUCACUCGUGGAUUCAGUUGUGGCUUCUUCGUCAUUUCUGUUUUCGUAACCUUAAAUCUGUUCCCGGUCGAACAGAGGAUAGCUCGUGACUCAUCUAUUGGUUUAACCGGAGAACGAAGCUUAGAGACUAUAGACAUCUGAGAGAAGCUUUGAAUGGUAGGAGAUGGAGAAUUCGAAGGUAACGUGAGGGUAAAAUUGGAAAGAUAAGGAAUGAAAUGAGAUCAGUGAGAAAGAGAGAGAGAGAUGGAACAGAGUAUGAAAGAGCUUAACGAAGGUUUUUAAAAACUGUAGAACGGUAACAGAUAAAGAAAGCAUGUAAACCGGUCAUAGCCGGUGAUUAUUGCUUACGUGUCGGUUAAUUUUCUGUUUAAUCCUUGUUGGUUUCAGAAAAAGGACACCAAAUGGUUUAUUACAUGUCGUGCAAAUUACGCUUUUGUCAUUUAAUUCCGGAUUAAAAGUUUGCCGCCUGCAUUAUUUUCUAACUUAUGGUUAAUUAAUUUUCGUUCAAUAAUUAAAAAUAGGUGUUUUGGAGAAUGCAUCAAAAAGUCCUACUAUGCUUUAUGACUUUGAACUAUAUACAGUAAAAACUUGACGAAAAAACUACAUUAGGUUAAACUCUAAAGAAUGUUUUGGAGAAUGCACCCAAAGUCCCCGCAUGCUUUAUGACUUUGUGACCAGUCCAUAUACAGUAAAAUUGAUGAAACAACUGUACAUUUAUUUACUUCAACCUCGAAUUAACUGCUUCAGUAGCUCGUGCUCAAUCACAGCUUUUGGCUUCUCGAAGAGGGGCAAGUACAAUGAUUGUAAAUCAACCAAGAUUAUUUGACCUCUUUUUUUUUUAUGUUAUUUAUUGGUUUUAUAACUACUCAAGCAUUGGAACUAGAAAACCAGAAUUUUUACCCAUUACAUUCCAUUCAUUAUUUGUUUCAUUCUAAAUUAAAAAUUCAUCAAUUGGCAAAUAACUAGUAGAUUGUUUUAUGUUCUAUCUUAUCUGAUAUCUCAACAGUAGGAUUCUUGAUAUGCAAAUCGAACCGAUGAUCCUUCUAGCCAUUAGAUAAUUAAAGCUAACCGAUCAAACAAAUUGUAGGCCAAACCGGUAAAAGUUCCAAUUCUGAUACACUUGUGUCAUUUGUAUCUAUGUAAAAAAAUAGUUGUAAUUUUACGGAGGGCAUAAAGGUUGAGAGGUGGGCUGAGAGUCAGAGUCUAAUUUGGUGAAGUGUAUGUGGGUGUUGGAACACGAGUGAAGGGUAAAAUUGGGAAAACAAAAGCUUUAAGUAUAAGUUAAGAAAGUAGCUUACCGUUAAGAAAAAGAAUCGUAAAAGCCAACACAACACCAACUCCACAAACUCACCUGGCUUGCCUUUUCUUUAAUUUCUAACGGCUAACCACUAAACCCUCUUUUAAUGGGCUUUUAGCCCAAUCAAUUAUAUGGCCAUAACUACAACACCCACAUCUCUCUCCGUACGUACUUAAUGAUCCCUUUAGAUUGAUGCAAGUCUCAACAAACCAACAAAAAUUUGAUGUAAGUAUACCUGUGACAACUAAAAUUCUGCAACAUCUUUUGAUUCAGAACCGUAUCUGUACAUAGCCUUUGUGUAAAGAACUAAAAGACUAAAGACUCGUUUUCUUCCUUUAAACCGGUCCGAGAGUGUUGAAGUGGUCCCAUGCUUCCUAAAUGAUUGGACCAAACAAAAAAAAGGACUUAAGAUUUUAAAGAUCCUGCAAUGUUUUUAAAUUGUCAUAAACCAAUGUUUAUAGUAACAAUAAGAACCUGUAAUAAUUCGAAAACUUUCUCGGCCAUGUAUUUCUGGUUUGCAGAAGCACCCUUUUGUUGUAGUUUGUCUGGAUGAAGUAUUAGUAAUGCCCUCUGGUACGAUUUUCGAACCGCGUUUCCUUCGAUCAUAUCCAUUAGAGGAACCGGCUUCCACCCGCUCCCAGACCAAAGAAUCUUUAAAAUAAAACUUCAAAAUUCAUCACUUAUGCACUGAUGCAUAGUUUCCAACAAUGUUAUGUGUUAUACAUCAACAAGAAUACUUACAUAUUGCAGCGUGGAUAGAAGAGACCGAAUGUUUCCACUCUUUCCGCUUGACCACUUGCGGAUUUUAGCAUCGAUGUUCUGCAGAGGUUCGGAUUCCGUUUUCUUUUAGUUUUGAGGUUAUUUUCAGGUAAAAGAAUCGAAAAUAUACAUAUCUUUGCAGUUGCAGUAGUAUUACCUUGAUUUCUUCAGCAUCCUUAUUGGCCUCUUCCAUUUUGUUUUCAUCUUGUGUUAUAUCCUCCACCUGCACAACACAUUACAAGUUCCAUGUCAAUUAUAAAUAGAAACAUACACAUUUUUAGAUUGAAAAACUGAAAGGUGGAAGGGCGCGUUAAAUUACAUCGAAAUUUACAUGGAAGGGCUCAUCUAUAUCCUCUGAGGUAGUAUGUGCUGAUAGAAAGAAAAGAAAAAAGAUGUUAUUUAGUUGUGUAGUAAUAACAAGAUUUAAAAACAAUCAAAGAACUUACUUGUGCUAGGUUCUUGUCUCUCUUCUUGUACAGUAUCACCAGGAGCCUUAUAGUUCAUGCUCUCCCGGUCUGAAUCUUUUUUCUGAGUUGACUGUGAAGGUUUCUGAUCCCGAUUCUGCAACGAUAUUUACAGGUAAGGAAUCACAAACCAAGGAACAUAUAGCAAGUAGGAUCUUGAUUUUCUGAUUAAGUACCAUAGCGGGGAUAUCUGGAGUCGAUUUCUUUUGUUGAUCAGGAAUGUUUACAGUUUCCUUGGCAUUAGAACCAUCAUGAAUGAUAUCAGUCUUGGGAGUUUCUUUAGCUCUCCAUCUAGAGCUUUGUCCAAGAGAUUCCCCACCUGCUCCAACUGAAGCUCCUUUACUGAAAAUCUUAACGAAGUCACUCACUUUUCCUUUGACUCCAUCUUUGCCAACUUCUGGUGCUGCUGAUGAACUUGCGAAGCUGGAUUUAUCGGGUAUCGGGCUACUAUCCAAAGAACUUUUAGUGCCUUGUGAUUUCUUCUUGGUUCUUGAAUCUUCGGUAAAACUUCGAGUGUUCUUCGCUUUGCUUUUACCUUUUCUCACUUCUCUCUCUGAUACUAUUUUCUCAUCUGCAAUGACAAAGAACCAAAUGCACAGUCAACAAAAGGAAGUUAACCCAACCAAAUGUAACAAAUAUACAUGUCUGCAGAAACCAACCUUGUCUCUCAUCUUCUUCAUGAAAAAUUGAAUGAAGAGGCUUCACAGUAGUAGCUUCAUGUGCUUUUGACACACCAGAGAAGGCCUGUUCAGACUCAACUGAAUCAAGAGGCUUCACAUUAGCCUCACGUGCUUUUGAGACACCAAAGAAGGCUUGUUCAGACUUCAAAUCUGUUUCUGUUUUCUCUUCUUUUGUCUGGACACCAGGACGCUUUAGCGAGGUCUUCUUCACAUCUUUCAAACCAGAUAAACCACUUUUUCCAUCUCCUUCUUCAUUUUUACCCAAUUUCUCAACAACUGAAGUUUUUCGAUAAUCACUCAAUGGUACAGGUGUUGUCUCCUCAGCUUUAGACAUAGAACUCAAUCUAGAGCUUCCCCAAAUAACAACAGGAACUCCUUUAUUAGGCCACUUGUAGAUAGAGAAAUGAAAUUGCCUUCCUUUCCCAGUAACAAAAACUUGUGGAGGAUCAUCACAAUCAUCUGAAUAUGAUUUAGCAGUAGAGACCACAUCUGCUUUGCUUGAAGUUCUUGACAAAGGAGAGCUCGAAACAGUUUCUUUGUUCUUGUUCAAACUACGAGUAGCUGCUAAAUUAAAUGUUGGAAUCUCUGUUGCUUUUGCAGGAAGACUGAGUAACAAAGUCAACAAUUAUACAAAUUAGCAACGAAACUUAUCUCUUCGUUUAAAUUAGUUCAAAGAAAACAGACCUGAAUUGGGAUGGAGACGAAGUCCCUGAAGAAGAUUCGGGUUUGUGAGCCGGGCUAAGGAUCCGAGAACCCGGAAGUGAUGAUGAUUCAUUAACUCUGAAAAUAUCGUCGAAGAAAUCAUCAGUGGUGAAACGACGCCGGACAGAUGAUGUAUCUUCGCCGAAUACAGGCUUCUCGUCUUGCGGAAGCAGAUCGCCGACGUCGACGAUGACGUCACGACGCCGGAGAGCGGAUUCACUGAAGCUAUGUCGUGUGACUUCGUUACUAGUAACUUUAGAGCGUCUCUUAGGAGGACCACCAAACACGUCACCAAAAUCGAUGUCCACGUCAUCGCCACCGGGACUACGCAACACAGGUGGUGCUGAGUUGGAGCCUAAAAGAACGGUUUCUGAGCUUGGUAAUGUCUGCAUAGCACAAAGACACAGAAUUUGCAAUUGCUCCGGAGAGGGAGAUACAUACAGAGGCUGAAACAAAAGGCUUUAAGAAAAAGACAAAGACAGAGGUAAGAGUGGGGUUCCAUUUGAUUUGAAACCACAAAAAAAUGGGAUUUUCCGGUCAUUACAGAGAGAAGAAUCUUAAAGAGUCUUGUUUGUGGAUAAAACCCACAUACAUCCAAAACUCUUACACUCUCUUUGUCUUCCUUGUUCUUCCAUAUCUCUCUUUCUUGCCUAAUCUCUCGUUUGUUGUCUCUCUCAUAAUUUUUUUUUGUGGUCAGGAAAUAAUGCAUAGUUAAAAAAAGAGAGACUUUUCUGACUAAAUAAGAAACUGUGGUCAACAAUACAGUAUUGUUAAUAAGACUCUUGAGUUUUUCAGCUAUAGGCUACACAAGAUUCUUAGUAGAGAAGAAGAACUAGGAACCUAAAAGGAUAACUGAUUAUAACAACAGAUGUGGGAAGAUGAAACUUAGCCUACCUUUUUUCUUAACUCGAGGAAGAAGAAGAUGAUUGGGUUUUUCGAUAUCUUGCUUAACAAGCAUCCAUCUCUUUUAUCAAUCUGAACCAUCGGGAAAGCUAUCCAACGCAUCUUGUUUGCCAUUAACGUAGAACUCUACCACAGCGUGCAUUCGUUCGAGUUUAUCUGGAUGGUAAUUGAGAUGCACAAUCACUGGCUUCAACUUCUUCAGUUCUUGAUUCUUUCUCACUGUUUUGAAGAGUACCUUACUGUUCAUGAACUCGUACAUAUCCAUGACUCUCUUGGAAGCGUGUAAGCCAGUGUACCCUGGAUGCGAAGGGUAAAAGAGUUGCUCGUUGAAAACCGCUUGGUCCCAUGCCUCUGACUUAGAGAGUGUAUCUGCCACACGAUCGAGUAGGUCUAUUGAAGGAAUAGUUGGUCUUAGAUAGAAAAACCCUGAAUUGAAAACCCAUAUCCUCAUUGUGUGUGCAUACCUAGCCCAUCCCAUUGAUGGUUCAUCAAACACAUCGUUGAAGCCAUAAGCCGUGUUAUUGUCGUGACCAUCACUCAUUGACUCAACAUCAGAGUCUCUGUGUAAAUGACUAAAAGGAUUCUGCAAGAAGACAAUGUCCACAUCCGAUAGAAGAACACUGUAACCAAGCUGCAAGAACUCUCUUAAGACGCGGAACUUCAGUCCGGAAACAGCGUGAUUACCUCCGCUUUUUCCAACCAUGUCCACUGCUUUAUCUGGAUCUCGCUUGUAAAACACAACCUCCUUCGAUUCGCAGAAACUUUCCAUGGAAUCAUCCAACGCGACAAUGAGGUAGUUUUGAAUACCAACUCUCUUUACACUAGCAAUCUGCAACUCCAACAUUGGUUUCACAUUUGAAUUUGCAAGAACCACAAUGAUCUCUUUAUUGACAGCUACUUUCUCUAAAAGCUUAGCUAAUCUCGGGUUAACAGACUCAUCAGGAACAACAGUUGGAUUAGUUCUCAGACUCUUGACAGUACCAAAAGGCCCUGCCUUUAUCUCUGAUCCCAAAACUAAGACUUGUUUCCUUGCAUUCUCUGUUUCCUGUUCCGCCAACCGUACCUUCUCCGUUAGUUCUCUUACCUGCUUCCUUAACUCUGCGUUCUUUACCGAGAUAAUUGAAAAGUCUGAUUUGAGCAUUUUGACUCGUUCAGAUGAUUCACAUGAAGCCAAUCCAUCCUGAACAAUUCAAAAAACAGAGAAAAAAAAUGAAACUUCACCAGUUAAACUCAAAUGUUCAAGACAUGCAAUUUGUAGUUCUACUCAAAAAUCCAUGAAGAUUUUGAAUCUUCAUAACAAACGCAAGAGACUCAAAUUCUCAAAUUCCAACAAACACUAAUUCUAAUCACAAAUCGAGAGCUCGAGAUUACAGAAAAAUUUCUAAAAAAAGGAAUUUGUAGAUGUUUAAAGCAUAAGAUCUCUCUCAGUACCGUAGAGGUUGAUUUCGAAAUGCGUUCUUCGUUAGCAAUCAAGGAUGAUCCCGAGUUAAAGAAGCCGUUCGGGAACAAGACGGAACAGACACAGCCGAUAAGAAUUCCGACAAAGAUGGCAAUCGCAAUUCGAGAUCCACGGAGCUGUUGGAUCCUGUCUCUGCGACCCGCCAUUGCCGAAAUGACGCAGAAGCCAAAUUGAUAAACCCUCUCUUAUUCUGUGAUCAAACUGUAUUUCUGCAAGUUCAUUUUAUAUGAGCCAUUUGUAUUUUUUUCUUUAAGUUUCAUUUACUGUCUGUUGAUCUGUUCUAUAGUUCAUUCUAUUAACAUACCAUCCUGAUAGAGAAAUAAAUAAGUGGGUUCUAAUUUUUAAAAUCAUGUUACAAGGUUAACAAAAUUAUAAUAAUUUAUAUACUACAGUCUAUAAAGAGUGGACUUGAUCAAUCAUUUAUGUACUAGUUAGGCAAAAUUUGCCGAACCUACCACAAACCAAACUUCCAUUCAAUAUUUAAUUAAGCAGGAUCGAUAAGACUGUUCAUUAUUAAGGCUAAAGAGUAAUUAAGUUGAGCUAGACACCAUCACAAGUAGGGGAAAGACAUGGAUUCAUACAAACAGGAUAAAUGCACUUCUUGCAAGUAGAUGAUGAUGUAUUUACUACGGUUCCGAUGAGAUAUCUGAGAUCAGUCAGAUCAACAUGCAAAAAACGAGAAAAGCUAUCUCCAAAAAUCGCCGUAAUGAAACAGUUUUGUAAUGGAUUUGGAUAGCUUCACACUUUUUACAAGUAUCGAACUGAUGUCAGAGAUGCCAUCACUUCUUCCAAACCAGCCUUCGUGGGAUUGGGCUUCAUUGCUUCUUGAUAAGCCAUAUUCUCCCCUUCUUUUCUUUCUUAAGAGACCAACGAAGCUCCUCUUCGGCGGUGGCUGACGGCCUUAAGGAAUCAGAGCUUUCGUUUAGCCCUAAAAUAUAAAAGAGAAGUCGAAGGAAACCCUUAAAAAUAUAAUGUGCUUGUUCGCCCCAAUCAAUUCCAUCUCCCGCCAAGUAUUUCUAGAUUCGGCUAUAGUAUUCAAACUUAAAUAACAAACAUCAUCUUAUUAGUGAACACUUUCGUCUUCUGUGAUCAAGCCCAUAACAUACUGACAGAGAAAGAGAGAAGUUGUUUAAUUUUUCGAUCGAAACGAAAAGAAAUGGUUCCAAUUUUCCUCAACCAACUUCCAAGUUUGACAAAACAAAAAAGCGGUUUAAUAACCUAAACAUCAGAAGAAGAAGAAGUUUGGUUCUUUCGAUAUCUUGCUUAACAAGCAUAUACUCCUCUAUGAACCAUCACGGAACCUAUCAAGCGCAUCUUGCUUGCCAUUAACGUAGAACUCCACUGCAGCUUGCAUUCUUUCGAGUUUAUCUGAAUGGUAAUUCAUAUGAAUAAUCACCGGCUUCAGCUUCUUCAUUUCCUCAUCCUUUCUCACCGUUUUGAAGAGGACCCUACUGUUCAUGAACUCGUACACAUCCAUGACUCUCUUGGAAGCGUAUAAGCCAGUGUAUCCAGGAUGCGAAGGGUAAAAGAGGUGCUGAUUGAAAACUGCUUGGUCCCAUCCCCCCGACUUAGAGAGUGUAUCUGUCACCCGAUCUAGUAGCUCGAUUGAAGGAAGAGUUGGUCUUAGAUAGAAAAACCCUGAAUUGAAAACCCAUAUCCUGUUUGUGUAGACAGUCCGAGACCGUGUCAUGGUUGGGUCAUCAAACACAUCGUUGAAGCCAUAAGCUGUGUUAUUGUCAUGACCAUCGCUCAUGGACUCCACAUCAGAGUCUCUGUACAGAUGACCAAAAGGGUUCUGCAAGAAUACAAUGUCCACAUCCGAUAGAAGAACACCAUAACCAAGCUGCAAGAACUCCCUUAAGACGCGGAAUUUCAGUCCAGAUACAUCAGAACUCCUUCUGCUUUUCCCAACCACAUCUAUCGCGUUAUCUGGAUCUCUCUUGUAAUAUGCGACUUCAUUCGAUUUACAAAAGCUUUCUAAGGAAUCAUCCAACGGGACGACCAAGUAGUUUUGAAUACCCACUCUCUUUACGCUAGCAAUCUGCACCUCCAACAUUGGUUUCACAUUGUUAUUUGCAAGAACUACAAUGAUCUCUUUAUUGACAGCUACUUUCUCUAAAAGCUUAGCUAAUCUGGGGUUAGCAGACUCGUCGGGAGCCACAGUUGGAUUAGUUUGCAGACCCGUGACAGUGCCAAAAGGCCCUGCCUUGAUCACUUCUUUUUGUUCCGCCAACCGUACCUUUUCUGUUAGGUCACUGACCUGCUUCCUUAACUCGCCAUUCUUUUCGGAGAUGAUUGCGAAUUCUGCUUUGAACAUCUUGACCCGUUCAGGCGAUUCACAUGAAGCCGAUGCAACCUGAAAAAGAUAAACAGAGAAAGGAUGAAGUUCACCAUUUAAACUUUGGUUUUGAUGUCCAAAUUAUCAGUCUUGAGUAAGAUCCACGAUGAUGAUGAUUAAACAUGUAGUGUUUCUUACUCAAAAAUUAUGAACCUCAAAACAAACGAACUCAGUAAGAGACUUAAAUUCUAAAAUCCAUCUCCCGCCAAAUUUGGUUCUAAAAUUUACUAUAGUAUUCAAACUUCAUUCAUCAACAUUUUGACAUAUAUAAUCUACAACAAAGAGAACAACACCAUGUCCAGCAUUAUAAAUCAACUCAAAUGCCAUAAUGGCUAGCUUCCAGAGGACAUCUUAUAAUUCAGAACACAACUCUAGAGCUCUAGACCACAGAAUUUCAAAAAACAAACCGACUGUACAUGAUUAGAGUAUAAGAACUAAGUUUACCUUUGAUGAUCUGAAGUUGACGAAAUCAUUGGGUAUCAAAAUAGUGCAGACGCACCCGAUAAAGAUUCCAACCAGGACGGCGAUCGCAAUUCCACAUUCGCGGAAUGGUUGGACUUUCUCUUUACGAACCGCCAUUGCCAAUUGAAGUUAUCCGAAAGUAAAAAGAGUAAGAUACAGUAACCAAAUUAAUAAACCCCUUUCUUUCUUCUGUGAUCAAAUCCUAGUAGUGCAAGUUAAUCUUAUAUAACCAUUGAUUUUGGUUUCAAUGUUUUUUAACACGGCUGAAGUUGUUCUUGGUCAAAGGCCAUAUUAACAAUAACAUCUAACUAGGUAGAGAGGUUUAGGCAGAAUUACCGAACUCAGCACAACCAUAUUUAUUACAAAGCAGGACCGAUUAUUUAUUAUAUUCCCCUCAAAUCCACACCAUUCAACACUAUUAACCUAUGAUGCACGCGUCUCACGUACCUGAAACGUGAUGGGGGCUGGUACUUCACGGGGACAACAGGGAAACAUCCUCUAAACGUUUCAUGAAACAGAGGGACGGCAAGCAAAAAACGUGAUGGAGAACGUUUCCCAAACAUUUAUGAGAUAUUUUAGGUGUCCCCUUUAUAAAAAUAGGAAAUUUAUAAAGGAAUAAAAGAGCUUAUUCUAGGGUUUAAUAUUAGUAAAAGCUGUAUACAAAAACCAAACCGUUUUCGAGUUCUCAGAAGCAUAAAGAUGAUCAAAUCAUAAACCUAAGGAGUCUACCAGUACUCCUUUCCUAAGCAGUUGAGACAUUUUUGUACCCUGCAAUGUUAAAACAAAGUUUCCAAAUUUUAGUCUAAAAGAAAAUUAUUAGAUACCAUAUCCAAAUGUCUUCUCAGAGUUUUGUUCUCUGAUUAAGAGUUAAAAGGAGGAAAAAAAACCUGUGACCAUCGCAAGUAGGGCAAAGACAUGGAUUGAUACAAACGGGAUCAUACAAUGGUGACCAUUUAAUCGUUGCGUUUCCUUUGCAUAAUUUGCAUAUGUAAAACCCUUUUCCACGACACACUCUACAAGCCAUUCCGCUUUUCUUCCGUUUCUCUUCAAUUGUAUAUCGAAAUGCUCCUAAAGCUGCUGAAGAAACCGCGGUUAUUAUCACAAACCCACCAACAGCAACGCCUGCGGUGGUUCUCAAGAAUCGAAUCGGUUCUAGUGGCAUCUCUUAUAGAGUUAUUGUCUCUGUGCGGAAUUUCGUCGAACACCUUGAGCGCGUAUUUCCGUUGAUGCUUAUCUUUCCUAUCCGACUUUUUCCAAUUACAGUAUAUCUCAGAUUACAAGAACAAGAAAAGGGAAUUAAAGGGGGAAAUGAAUCAGUUUGUUUCCCGCCCAAUAUAUGAACACAAAAUCAGUGAUUUAGGAGUUGCAGACUCAUGAGAGCUGAGAGAGUGGAGGAAGAAGAUAACAGGGUUUGAUAAUAUAAAAAUAAUUGUUUGCUUUGACCAUUUUAGCCUUUUCAUUCAAAUACCGAACCGAAUUACAUUAAAACCGGAGAAAACCGGAAACCAUAAUACCAGCCAAUCUUGGUAUUUUUUAACUUGAUAUCCUAGUAAAGAGAAGAUGAGCACCAUUUUGAGGCUGCAACGUCACAAAUAAAACAGGAGCAUGAGCAUAACUUGGAGACAACCUGAAACUGUAAUACUUCAAGAUCGUAGCCAGAACAGUUUUAGCCUCAUUCACAGCAAGAUUCUGUCCCACACAAGUCCUAGGCCCUAACCCAAACGGUACAAGCAGAGCUGAUUGUUUCUUAGGAUCUUCAAACCUACGCGGAUUAAACUCCUCUGCGUCGUCUCCCCAUGUUUCUUUAUCGUGGUGCAUCGCGACUACUGAUAAAUAGAGUUGAGUUCCUGCAGGGAUGUCAAGGUCUCCUAGCUUAGCUCUUUUAAGAGUGUCACGGUUUAAUGUCAUUGCUGGAGGGUAGAGCCGGAGAGUCUCAUUGAUUAUCAUACUUAGCUGUUAACAAAAACAAGAAAUUGCUAAGAAACAGUGUUUCCUGAAACCAUUUUUGAGUGGGGCUUGAGGACUUACAGUCUUGAGGUCUUGUAAGAUGUCUAGAGUAGGAAGCCCGGUUUGUCCGAGAACGCAUAUGACUUCUUCCCGAGCAAUGUUUUGCCAUUCUUGGUUCAUAGCUAAGAGGACUAAAACAAACGUCAUAAGGUUAGCAGUUGUUUCCUUAGCUGCAAAGUAGAACGUUUUGCAUUCAUCUGUAACUUCUUCUAUCCCAAGCUUCUCUUCUUGACCAUUCUGAUUUGUGUAAGGAGACAUAAAAGCCUGAAGCAGAGUUCCUGAUUUCUCAACAGCUGUUUUAUUGUUUUCGAUCAGUUUCAAGAUAGAAACACGGAUUUGCUUCUCAAUUCUCCAUAUCUCUCUAUUCGUCUUCGAAGGAAAGAAUCUAAAACCACCAUUCAAAACUCAAAAAGUGAGCAAUAAGGUUCUAGUUCCAAACUUGUUCUCAAAACUAGGAAAAUUUCCCAUAAGACUUACCUGAAUCCUGGGAUAUAAACGCUCCAUCGAACCAGAUAAAAAAGACGCAUCAUACGCUCCUGCAAUUCAAAGAUUCCUUUCCCUUCUUCCACGCUGUUCCCAAAAGCUGUUCUUGAUAACAUUUCUGCAGACAAAUUGUGCAUCUCUUUGUGUACCUCUAACUCAAUCUCUUCUCCUCCGUUUCUCAUAUCUUCCCACUUCUCCAUCAACAUCAUAGUACUUGUUACCAUUUGUGGCACCCACCUCUAUAAAAGAAAAAAAGAUCUUAGCUUUAGCCACAAUCCUAUAAAGCACUCCGGAUUUGGUAAUUUUUAAACUAAACUAGACUGAGAUUCCAAAUAGCACAAUGUUGUCUGAAUUACAGAUCUUAGCUUCUACAUUGAUGUGUGUUAGUGUUACCUUGAGUUUCUCCAUUGUAAAAGCUUGUUUGGCGAUUCUUCUAUGGAAAGCCCAUUGAUCACCUCUAAGACCAGGAAGACCUUGAGCAUAAAGCAGCUUAGACAAAGGGUUAUGCCCAAUUCGGUCAAACGACCCACCCGUCGUCAAAGCUUCCCGGAUUAGUCUUGGAUCCGACGUAGCCACCACAGGUUUCGACCCGAACCAGUAGAGGAACGUCUUCCCGUAGACACGUGACCAUUCGUGGUAGUGAGGCGCCACACGGUGGACGAACUCAUGAGGAUUUCUCCCGGAAGGAAUCGGCUUUGACUUCGCCUCCGCCGUUAGCCGGCUAACCUCGCCGGAGUUUCCACUGAAUAUCCGGUAACUAGGACCCGUCACGCUCUGCUUCUUGAAGUGAGAUUGGAUUCUCCACGGAACCCAUAUAUUACUGUAGAUGAAUCUGAAGACAAGGAAGAAAAAGACCAAGACCAAGAUGAAGAACACUGCCAUAUCUUGACGUGUUAACCUCAAGUCUCUCUCUGGUUCAGUUUCAUUUAUUUGAUCUUGAAUUUUUUUUAAUCUGUUCUUAAUCUUGAGAUUGUGAAAAUUACAGUUAAGAAGCAUUAAACUAACAAUAAGUGACCGGAGAAGAAACAAAGCAACCGGUAAAAAUUUUAUUUCUUCGCCGGAGUUUUACACAUUAGAAAAUUUUCAAGCGUUGACCGGUAAAAAAAGAACAUAACGAACUAUGAAAAAAAAAGGAACUAACUUUCGUCGUCUAAAGCUUUGUUAUUACCAAACAAACUCUCUCUUCUUUUACCAAAUCCGCCAGAAUCAAGACCUGACCCACCACGAUACUUCAUCUCCUGUGCGGUUGUUCUGUAGUUAGUAGUUUCCACUGGAGCUCUUGAGCUCGGGUCGUUAGACCCUACUGAACGGUAAGCACCUGUUGCUGCUCCAGGAGGAUACCGAGAUGGCGAAACGUAUCUUCUCCGAAGAUCCAUGUGGUCGUCGUUUCUCCUAGUUGAUUCAGAGAAUGCGGAACUAUUUUGUGCAGUUGUUGUAGAAGAAGAAGACAUUGUCGUGGAGGAGAAAGGAUCGUCAGGUCCCCAAGCUGUGAGAGAUUCUUUCUUCUUAGAGAAAAAAUGCCAAGCGCCGAAUAAGAAAAGUAUGAAGAAGAAGACAGGACUGCUCCAAAGCAUUGUGUUGAAUUCUGCUUUGGAGAUUGGAAGCUUUGAUUUGUAUGUAGCUACGUAUCCGUCUCCUAAACCCAUCACAAGCAGCUUUUCGCGGUCGCUUGCUAUUAAAGGAGUUACCUUUUCUAGCUUCUGGUGAUCUGUGGUUUUAGUUGAUUCUCGAUGGCUCAAGAACGUUGACCUGAUAUCUUCUAAUGCAGCCGGAAAAAGAAGCCGAGGACCCGUGGUUCGGACGUAGUGUUGAGUCGAUACAUUGUAUACAAAGACUUUCUCUUGGUUGACUAUAAGUAGAUAGCCUUUGAUGGCUUGUAACGCUACAGGCUCCUCCAUUUGUACCUUCUUCUUUGAUCUCACUCUACAUUUGAAGUUCAUAAUGUCUCCGAGAAGCAACACGUGAAUGAUUUCGCCUUCGGAUGUGAAUCCAUAAGCUUUAGCCCGUUCGGACGCAUCAAAAACAUAACUUCUUGCUAGAGAAUGGUUAAGACCUUCACACUCAGAUUCCCUGAUCUUCAUGCUUCUUAAGUCCAAUGAACCAGCACCAGUCUCAGUGAGAAACAAAAGCCUCUGCUUCAAGAACACAAGCGGUCUACUCGUUGGGCUAACAGAGCCAUAAACCGUUCUGUUCUCAGUGAAAACCGUAAGCUUUCCGCUAAGAUCUGUCGCCAAUAUAUACCUAACCCGACCCACAUGAUGCACUUCCAAUAGAGUCACUUGCAAACCAUCCUCCGUGCCAUCAAACUUGCCAACAUUUUCCAUCACAGCGGAAUUCAAAUCUUCCCCGAUCGAGCCCUCUCGGAGUCUAUGCAACAAGAUGACUCCGCUUUGGUGUCCCGUCACCACAAAGCUCUCAUUCUUAUACACAGACAUGUAAGACACCAUUGCCGUGAUUGGUGAAUCGCAGGUGGUGAAAAACUCAACCAAAACAUCGCCAUUUCUCAAGAAGACAAAAACCCUACCACUUGAAUCUCCAACUGCGAAAUACUUGCUUAAACCUUCGUGAUCUCGAAACGGUAACACGUUGAUACAAGUCGCUUCAGAGUCUAAUUUCACAGCUGAUGUGAAUUCGAAUCUCUCAGACCAGAAAGGACUAUACUUUGUAACGGAAAAAGCCUUAGCUUUCUCUUCGAUCUCAUCACGAGUGAUCUCUUUCUUUACCUUAAACGGAGUUUCAGAUAACUUAGCGUCUAAUCUAGCAACUAGUUCCGUAAGAUUCCUAACGAGUUCCUCAAGUCUAUGCAAUGAAACACCUUGCCUGUCGGAUUCACUGCUGGUCACUACUCCAGGAGAAGCAUCUGAGUUCUCGUACGGAAUCGGAUCGGACUCGGAAGCGGUGACAUCCGAAUAAGACGGCGAAAGGAAAAGCAAAAUAAGCGAGACAAAGAAGAAGAAAAAUGCGGACUUGCCGUUUUGAGAAUCCGCCAUUCAAGAUGGUAAGAAAAGAAGCAGAAAGGUCUCCCUUUUAUUUUCCUGAAGUCAAUCAGUAACCGCCAUUUAUGCAGAUCUACAGGAGAUGGAGAAAUUCGGAUCUGGAAGGAAGACGAUUUAUCCGGUCAGAAUCUAUCUGAGAUUUUCUUUUGUAAGUCAAACAACGUUGAGCUAAGAGUAAUAAAAUAAAGUUGUCUGAUUUGAGAUCUUUUUGUGUCCGAAACUCUAUAGUCUCUGGUCUUCUUCUUCAGUCUCAACGAAGCUUAAGGGGAAGAAAGGAGAUAUAUCCUUACGAUUUUAAUCUUUGGGAUGAAAGAAAAGUCACCAGGUUAAGAUAUUUAUUCAGUAAAUUACAACAUGUGAUAAAAACUGUUUGCUUUAAUGGAUGUUAGUUGAAUGAUUCUUGAAUAGAAUCCUAUCCAUUAUAAAGAAAUAGUAUAGUGUAGACAUUGAAUAUAUAAAACAAAACUUUGAAUAGAAAAUUCUGAUCUCAAUCUCUAAGAAAAGAUUCGAAUGACUAAGACGGACGAUCUAAUCUCUCGCUAAAGUCUCUGUAGUUACAGCAACCAACCUAUGUACUUGAGAAUCGAGACUGAGUCUGAUCAGAUAAAGGCCAAAACGCGCGGUCCUACGCCGUUUUGGUGGCCACAUGUUAACAAAAAGGGUCACGAUCCAGUGAUUCACGUUCAUUCACCACACGUGCCGUUGCAUUGCAACUGUGCAAGACAAAAUCUCUGAAUUCAUCUCUUUUCCUGUUAAAUAUUCCAUUUUACUUGGAGAAAUGGAGAUCUGAUUAUACAAGAAUAACAUUCAAUUAGAGGAAGAGGGAGUUUACUUGUGGAUUUGUCUUAACUGGUUUCUUAUCCAGUUUGAAAGCAGCAAAUAUAGACUCAGUGUGGUUGCUGCUUAUCAUUGUCUCGCGUGAAUUGAAGGAAGUUUUCUUUGAUGACAUCUUUAGAAUCUCGUACAAGGUUGAUCGUUGCCUCGUGCUCGUCUCCUUCUCCACCACCGUCGCCUGUAAUGUUGUUGAUCUCUCUUGUGACUGUGAGGCAGUGAAUUUUGCUGGAGCUCUUUUUGGUCGGCUUUUUUCUUGAAUAAUCUGCAUAGGUUAUUAAGAAGGUAUUUAAAUAUGUGUACCAGAAAUGUGUAUGUUUAUAUAGGGAAGAGCUUUACCGUCUCUGGAACUGAAGGUUCCUCUGCCACUGAAUUUGAGCUUUUGCUGUUACUGUCAUCGCGUUCGAAUAUAUAGCCACGUACAACAUUUGAACCGCGCUUGCGAGAUCCUUCUGAUAUGGAACUCUUUGUAAGUCUACCCAAGAACGAUGACUGCAAAAGAUUCACGGCAUUAGUAAAGUUGCAAUUCAUUGUCCUAUUUUUAAGAAGUCUCAAAGUGUGACCUAUCUAGUAUCUACGAACUUUAUUGGUAUACGAAAGUAACUGAAGAAGGCUUAUACCUUGGAUGCUGCAGGGUUUUUGUUUAUUUCCAUGAGUGCCCUCUCUUUAAAAGCUGAAAACAAUUUAAACAAAAUGGUUAGAAGCAAUCAGCAAUGUGUGUAUAAACUCAGCUGAUGAUUACAAAUACAGGGAGAAACUUGGGUGGUAUCUUACAAGAAGGUUUUGCUUUCUUCUUGAUCUCAGGCUUCUUGAUGUGGCGAAGAAUUUCUUCAGAGUUUUCAUCCGCAGUGGAUGAUGAAGACUUGGCCUUUAGCUCCUGUUCCAAACAACAAUGAUCCAUAUUAAUGGGGCAGCACAAGCGAAACAUCAAACAAGCUUUUCAAUCUUUACUAUAUAGAGAGGUAUGGUGGAUCAAAUGAUAAAAUAUGGAGCAGACAGGGCUAUUGAACCGGGAUCACUUACCAUUUUCUUGUACAGUCGCUGUUGCAGAAGCUUCUUUUCCAUUUCCUCAUCGUCUGAUGACACAUAAACAUCAUCUUCAUCUGUGAACAUUAAAGGGAUCAUUUCCUUUAUUUUCUUUAUGGUCAUUCGCAUGGAAUUUGCAUGACUUGGAUCUUCUUCAUCUUCAUCUUCAUCUUCAUCUUCAUUGGCUUCAGGUUUUUGCACUUCUUCACCAUCAGCACCUUCAGGCCUCUCUUCAUCAUCAUCAUCAACAUCGUCAUCUUCAUCUUCAGACAAUAAUGUUUCAUCAUGCUGCACACCACGUUUAAGCUUCUGUAAGAGUUUCUCUGUCCCUGCAGCAUCUUGUUGCUCGAGCCACUUCUGAUGCAGUUCAUUACGUCUAUCUUUAUCAGUUGGAUCUUCCUUAAAUUGACUGACAAUCAUAUCCCUGAGAUCAUCAUCGUCUUCAUCUUCGUCAUCAUCCUCAUCCUCAAAUCGGAGUAAAUCAUUGUCACUGUCAUCUUCCUCUUCAGCAUCCUCAUCAAUAAAUUUUCUAACAGGGUCGCCAGGAGAAUCAUGGAUCUCCGGAUCAGAAUUUCCCUUUAUGUACUCUGCUUCUUCGGAAGAUCUGCAGAUGUGGAUUAGUUAUUGCAUGGAAAGCAAAGUAUACACAGUAUAACUUAACAUUACAGAAACAAUUGGCUCUUCUGGUCAUAUCACAGAACACAAGCUAUUCAUAUACUGAAAGUAACAUCUGUCCAUAAUAUUCUUAUGAACAUGUAAAGACUGCGUUUUGAGAAGCUUGCCAAUAUUAGAUAGACGAGCAAAUCAAAGUUAUAGUCAAUUCAGUUUUCGCAUGUAACCACAUCUAAAGAUAGACUCACUUGUCAGGCACAGGAGACAGGUUUAGUUUGAGGUUCAUGGCAACUACCGACGGUGUCAUUACUUCUUCCAAAGAUCUGCUUGACAUCUUCUCAAGAAGUUCAUCUCCAGAGUUAAUCGUUUGUGGACACACGGAUGGAUCCUAACCAAAAAAGGAAAAAAACUGAGAGAGUCAGCUUGAAACCUGAAUUUACAAACUAGCCUUUGAACCACAGCAUAAAUUUAGCAUUUGUAACGUGGAAACGAAAUGAGCCAUUCAAAUUAUCUGCAGAUGGGGUUAACAUAAUGGAAAUGUAGGUAUAUAUAGUUACAGGUUUUAAUCUUCAAAUGUUUGAACUUUAUACUAAGUCUGGACUCUCGAGAAGAAUUCAAAUAUCACAAAACUUUGAUUAAGGACCUCAAAAUCCAAAACUAAAUCAACAAAAACAGAAAACAACUUCCUAUUGUGCAAAGAUCUAAAGUAUCAACACAUGAGUUGGCUCACCUGAUGAGUAGGGUUACUUUCAGCUUCUCUUUUAGAGGGACUGUCUGAGUUCUCCGACGGACCUGCAGAGUCCUCCGAGCAAUGCUGUCCUGCAGAAUUUUGCUUGCUUGUUAAAUUCAUAUCUUCAUUCAUCUCUUCAGCUACAACAUCUUCAAAAUCAUCCCGGUCGCAUAUGUCAAUAGAUUUGGACUUCUUCCUACUAAGGAAUCUGCCAACAACACAAAUGAUAACACACAAACACGGUUACUAAGAAAAGAGAUUAUAAGGGAAAGUAGUAAGGGAAUAUAGCAAACUCACUGUUUUGAAAUCUCUUCUUUUCUUCUGCGAAUUUUCUCCAAGACAGAUGAAAUCGGCUUUCGGACAAGAGGGGCUGCUUCAAAGGCAGCAUCUCUCGUUUCUAUCAUGAAAAGAAAAACACAAACAAUUUUCAGUUCCCUGCAAAACGUUGAAAUGAGCACUGAAGAGUGUUUUGAGAGUAUCAUACCUCGCAAGAGUCUCUGGUUUUCUGCACGAAGCUGAUCAAGAUAUUCCCUUCUUUCCUACAGACGAACGAAGAACAGUAACACCAAUUAAACACAGGAGAAGGAAACACACAAACGAAUAAUGUUAACUCAAAAUGAAACUAGUAAGAAAUAGAGAGAGCUACCUUCUUAGUCAUGUUCAUGGAAGCAGUAGAGACUGGCAGCUCAUCAAAGUCAUCACUCUUCUUCUUCCUCUUCUUAUCUCUCUUUCUCUCCUUUCCCUCUCCAUCACGUGUCUCCACAAUUGGUCGCUUCUUUCCAGCUUCCUUCGUUUCCGGAACCCUAAUUUCCUCUUCGUCUUCACCUUUCUCACCCAAUUCCUCCAUUGGGGAAUCAAAUUCAUGCACAGUCGUCUCGAAAUCCGGAUCCUCCUUUUCAGAUUCCGUCGUUUCAGAAACCCUAAUUUCAUCUCUUGUUUCCGAAUCAGAGAUUUCGCUUCCACUUUUCUCGCCCAGAUCUUCGAUCGUCUGAUUAAACUCAGGCACAUAAUCAAAAUCAAGUACCUUCCUCGCGGUAACUCCAUCCUCUACACCCAAACCGUCGAGAUCAGAUGGAACCCCAUCUUCUUCCUCAAUCCCAUCGCAACCCUUCGCAGACUGCAAUUCAGACUUACCCAGAUCCUCGCCGUCGGGGUUUUCGGAAUCGAAGGUUUCAGAUCCAGGACAUGAAUCGGAGAUCAAUUUAGCUUUCUUCAAUCGUCUUAGCAUCCUGUUAGGAACUGGGACACUCGAUUCUCCAAUAGGAGAAAGCUGAUCAUCGUUCAUCAUCUUCGAUUGUAAUCGCCGGACAAAAUUGGAGAGAAUCUUACGGUGCCCAAUGUUUCUGUUCGUUUGGAAGAAGACAAGUCAGUGCCAA